AGUGGGCUCUUGGCCUUGACCGUGCGUCGAAAGGAUAAGACCGCAGGGCACUCCUUCCUUUGUCUCUCUCUGGAAUCACAUCUCUCGGCUCCCCUUGCUCUUUCCUGCUUCAAGAGAAAAACAGAGAACAAGCUCUCAUCUUCUCCUCUCUCACUCCCCAAGCUUUGUGCUCCAUUCAAGUGAGAGAUUGAGCUCUAGUGACAGAUCUGAGAGCUUCAAGAGCAUCUCCUCCAUCUCCUCUCCAUUCUCAUGGUUGGUUUUCUUUGGUGAGAGGAGUUGAGGAAACCCUAGUGAUUCAUAUUUGUAGCACUAGGUUGUGAUUGCAAUUGUGGAUUUCUUAUUACUCUUGGUGAUUUCUGUCACCUAUACAGUUGUGGACUUGUUGAUUGGUGAGGGGAUUUGAUGAUUGUGUCCGCCCCCGAUCAAGGUGAUAUUUGUGAGGGGUUCUUGGGCUUAUUCCCCGGCGGAGUGCCAAAAGCCACUCUAGUGGAUUGCUCGUGUCAUUGAGCUACCUCACUUGUGGGUAGGUUCUUGUGGCUCCCAUUUGUUGGGCUAGGUUUGUGAAACACCUAUUAGCCGCCGAACCACCAAGUGUUGGUCGACACAACGGGGACUAGCGUGCCGGCAAGCACGUGAACCUCGGGAGAAAAAUAUUAGUGUCAAUAUUGUGAUUGGUAUUCUCCCGGUGAAUAUAUUGAUAUAAAUUGUGAUUGGUUCAUCCUCUACGCAUUGGUAUAACUAUCUCUCAUCUCUUUACUUUCUUGCAAAUUAGUUGUAACUAGUAGAUCCAAGUUUUAGCUAGUUGUAACUGCUUGUGCCUAGAGAUCAUAGUAACUAAAAUUAUUGGAUAGGUGGCUUGCAACCCUUGUUGAGCUAGAGCAAAAUUGCUUUACACCUUUUGUUAUAUUAAUCCUUUGCUCUAGUGUCUUGUAGAAUUUUUAAAUAGGCUAUUCACCCCCCUCUAGCUAUAUUAGGACCUUUCACAUGCAGGAGCUGACAAGUGACUACGGCCAUUAUGUUGACGUCAGAUCCAGUGUCGUAGAGUGUCUUCUGAAAAGAGUAUCCGUUGAUUGUGCACUUGAUGCUUGGAACACUAGGGUCGUCCUUCUUGAUCAGGAAAGGCGACUUGAGUCGAUGAUCUUGACCUCUUCCGACAAGGAUCCAAUGUUUUAAGUCUUUUGGACAAGACUUCUCACCGUCUUCAUCAUUUAGGUGCAUCAUUUGAUUAGGUGUGGACCUUGACGUCUGCACCUCUUGAUACGGUGUCACCCAUGUUCUUCGUUUGCCCAGCAGUUUGAAGUGCGGUGUUGGCAAUAUCCUGCUCAAUGUGUUUGUGCUCGUAGAUCCAGGUCCUUCAGUUGGUGGAGUCUGGAAGUUGUAAAACUCCUCCAUGUUUUGCUUAAAGUGUACCUGUUCAUAGAGACAAGGCAGAGAUCAAGUGCAUGGGCCCUGUUGGUGGAAAACACCAAUAGAACCAAAAGUGUAUUUGUUCUUCUCUAACCUUAAGCAUAGUGGGCAAGACAAAGUUGAUGGAUUAUGAGUGCAGCAUUUGUCAGCUCAGAUGGCUCAACCUAAUGGAAAGAUAAUCUAUCUAUAUUUAUGUUUUUUUUCUUUAUAUCUUCCCAAAGAUGGAAUGUGCAACAUUUUAGCUUAUAUGAUUAGGAGUGUGGGAUCACGAAGAUAGUACUAAGAACAAAGAUUAAAGGACUAAACAUGUUGAAUUAAUUUAGUUGGUUAAUCUGGAGUUAUAAAACAUACAUGUUUGUCUCUUUAUUUAUGUGAAUGCUAGAACCAAGGAGAAGCUUAUAAAAGCGAUAGUCAAGUACCUUAAGAUGUUAUCUUAAUUGAAGAGUGAUGGUACCAUCUCACCUUGUGGAAGCUUCCCAUUCGUAAUGGGUGUGUAUCUUGUUUAUGUACUUUGUCUCCUUCCAUGGAUCAUCUCUCUAUGAUGAAUGAGCUAUGUCUUCCUUGUACAAGUCGUUAAAUUUCAUGUGUCUCCUUUAUCUCCAAUGUGAGUUUGUAUCUUAGGACUUCCCAGGUUGAUAUUGAAAGUUUUCCUACAGGGAUUAGUCCGACAAAAUAUACCAAUGUCUACACAAGCAGUUUUUAGUUCAAUAACCGAACUAGACUCCAUGUCUAAUCAGAUUAAGGAAGGCUAUUUAACCUAAGCACCAUGCUUAAUUUUAAAGCCAAUAGAAGUAUGUGCAGUACUUCCAAACUAACACUUACUAGGAUAAACAAAGGUAGCGUGAUGGCAUUUAUAGAGAUCUACUCAAGUGGAGAUGAAGUAGUGUGAUUAGUAUUUAACAAAUUGAGCAUGUCUUGAAGGUAAGGACAACCAACAUAGCAACAUGGCAAAGGAUGUUUUUAUGUGAAGUACUCCCCCAAGCUUGAAUUUUGCAAAAUUCAAGAUUGGAUGAAUUUAAUUCAAUGUUGCAUGAUGAUUGUUUGGGCAUACCUUGCGCUUGUCAUUCCUCGGAUCUUCUUGCUCCAAUCCUAGAAAGGUUAGUGACACGAAUACCCGAAGGAAUAUUUCUACAAUUAUCUUUAUAUGCUCAAUACACAAGGCAAUAUUGCAAAUAAUUAGAAGUUCAUGUUACGAUCUGAUAAGUGCUUGUUUUAGGACACUAAGCUUGUCCUUGGGAAACCUUCAAUCAACUCAACGAGAUCUGCAAUAUUUAUUAUAGACAUAUGCAUCGACAACCGCACUUUUAAAGUUGUUAUAAAUAGAAAGGAAGAGAGGGUUGGAGAUCUCAAAUGUGGUGAUAGCACAUGGAUUUUUAAUGCCCUCUAGCCAUUGAUGUUGCUCUUGUCGAUCCUCCUUCUUAUGCAUAGAGAGAUUCAUAGGAUUAUCGGGAGGUUCAAGACAAAGAGCAUAGUAGAAAUUAUUAAGCUCAAGGAUGGGUUGGAUAGCCGAAUUAUGGGAUUGAAAUGUUUGAAAAUCGGUUAUUGAAACUUCCUUUCCUUGUCUGGGAGAUGAUUCCUUCUCUAUCUCUAGGAAUUUUUUAUGAAGACUAGUAUAAGAAGGAUGUCCACAAAUGAAGACAUACCUUCCUUUACUAAUAGAUAAAGAAAGAAAGACUCUACCAAAGGUUAUAUGAUUAAGACCAAUGUGAAAAUAUCGAGAAAAAACAUGGUCUUGUAGGGCUAGGUUUAAACCAGAAUUUAUAGAAAAAUUAACAGAUUCUCUAGGUGUAGCUACAAGUGCAUUAUCUUCUUGAUUAAAAGAUAGGACCUCACCUAUAGAAAAGGGUUGGUUUUGACCUAUUGCAAUCAACUCUGGACACAGAUCAUAAUUAGGGGCAGGACUUGUUGACUCCCAUGGUCUAUGGCUGGUCUCCGAAGGUGCAAAAAAUUCAAUAACAGGUGUGGAAUUUGAGUUAUCCAUAAAGAUGGAAAAAAAAUAAAAAGAUAAAAGAAUAAAAGCAUAAAAGUAUAAUACAAGAUAAUAGCAAGACUAAAGGUUAUCUCAGCAAACCGUCUUUCUCCCCAGCAACGGCGCCAGAAAUGCUAAGCCUAAAAAGAAAUUUUAUUUAGAGGAGAGGUAUUCCUUCGAGGGCUCCUCUCAACUCUAUGAUAAACUUGUCUCCUCCAGGGGCCAGGGGGUCUGGUUUUGUAGUCCCCUCAAGUGAAUGUGAGCCAUUGGAUCAAACCGACAUUGAUUGGACGGUUAUCCUUGAUCCUUUAGGUCGGUGGAGCUUGGUCCGCGAAGAGAGUCCUGAUCCAACUCUGCAGGGAGGCGGGCGCCCAGUGCCUGGCCCUGUUCGGCCUCCGCUUCCUUCCCGUGGCUUCUGGAGUCUUCUAGAUGAUAGAAAAUUGCGCGGCACGUUAAUAUCUCUAUGUAAACCCGACGUGUGGGCCUUUCUUCCGUAUUUCGUGAUAACCCCCUACAGAAAUAGACAAACACCAAAACUCGUGGAAUUCUGUCAGAUAAAACCCUAAGUCUGGAUGUUGGUUGCAUUUGGAUCCUUUUCUUUAUUUAUUUGAUGAUUAUAUUUGGUACUUAAGGACCGUCAACAAUACAUACAUUUGUAUACAUCAAAGUUUGGUGCUCAAAGACAUAAAGUUAAUUACAAGAGUAUAUCCAUCAUCGCACAUCAUAUAUAUAUAUACAUCAAAGUUUGUUUCUGUCCUCUAAUAACCCACUUUACUAAGUUUGAGCUUACUAAUCUCUGUUAGCACUCGGAACUGUGGCCUGGAUAAUUGGCUUUCAUCAUCAUGAUAUUUGUCUUCACAUCGAAUGACAUGCUUCAUGAUGAACGAGCAGAUGUCCUCAACUAUGUUGUCUAAAUCACGUUCGUCCAUGUGCUCCGCCGUCCCUUUCUUAUAUACCUGCAAAGAAAGUUUAUAAACAUUAUAUAUUUCAUGACUUCCAACUUUAAUAGACUAUUACUUAUAUUACCUUGUCAGGGUUCCUUGCAUAUCGUCCGCUUUCUCUCAUGUUCUCGCACACAUAGUAGCCACAGAGGACAAAUAAGGGUGGUUGCUUCAUGCACUGUAUAACAGGAGAGUGGUUAUUUAAUUAUAGUUACAACUGUGGUCCUAUGUGUAUGAUUUGUAUUCAUAAUAGUAAAUUUUUAUACUACCGGCCAGUUAUGUAUAACCUCCAAUGGUUACCCUAGUCUCUUGGACUCGCACUUUCCAUGAUUUAUCUUAUAGAACCUGUAUGCCCUAUGAUCUCAAAUAGAAUCACAAUGUUAUUGUCAAAUUCUCACUAUGCUUAAGUAUGCAUGCAUAGCUUGACUUACAGCUCUAGCAGUUUGAUAAAUGGAGCAUAGCUUUCUUUCGGGUAAUCUGCGGGUCUAGUACCAACACACUUCCCUCCUUGGGAUAAAUGAUGAAGCAUAUCUAGUGGUUCCUGCUCGAAUUAAAUCCAUGUUGCAUUUAUGCAUUGGAAUAGUUUAGAUAGAUAUUUAUAAACUCACACUUAUCCAAAGUGGUACGGGGCCACCACCGCUUUCCUGUCUUGAAACUUUAUUAGUGAAUGUCCAAUGUAGAAGGCGUAUUUGGCUUCAAAAUCAAGUUUUUCAACUUUCGGAGUUUCUCAUCCUGUUCUGCACCUUCCAAACCCUGUACCUCGGUGCUGUCAUUCUCGAUCCGGAAUGUGAGCCGAUUUUCAAACCUCGCCUCAUUUCAUCUGUGAUGGCAUAUGUGUCAUCUGGAAAUUGGUUCAACCCUCUCUCGCCUCGUUUCAAACCUCGCCUCGUAGGGCUCACAUCUGUGAUGGCAUAUGUGUCAUCUGGAAAUUAGUUCAACCCUCUCUCGCCUCGUUUCAAACCUAGCCACUUCCUUUUCCUGGACUGACAUGGCCUCUCAGGGUUCGUCGUUGCAGUCAUCGGUUCCGGUGCGUCUUCAUGUGCCACUUCCUCCUGAGACAUCUCUCUAAACUGAGACAUUGCCUCGUGAGUAUAGACAUGUGAAUCAUGGGCAUGUUUAUAUGUAGAAACUAUGAAUAGAAAUCAUGUAAUUACAUGAAAUCGUGAAUGUCUCUAAUUUACCUCAUCGGCUUCUGGAUUAUAAUCGGGGUCACGUGCCAAUUCACGACGAGUCUUCCUCACUUCUAGAGGCUCUAUGUCGUCGCUAGCUUCUUGUUCGUAGGACGAUCCUGAUGCUUCGCCCGUUUCUAAUUGUUUCGUGACCUCACGAUCUUGUUCCAUAAGGUGGGACGACCCUUCUACUUGCUACGUGCUUUGUCCUUCUGCGGAGAACUCAUCGUAGAAAUCUAUGUAAUUUAUGUAUAAAAUUAAAUUUAUGUAUCCUAGGGCGUAUACACUAAUACAUAUAUAAAGAGAAAUAAUAACAAGUAUUUAUAAAAGGAAUAAUUAUGAAUGCUAUUACAUAUAUAAAGAGAAAUAAUAACAAGUAUUUAUAAAAGGACAGACACAAAUAAUACAUACAUAUAUUUCCUCAACAUAAUCACAUAUGAAAUAAUAAUUAUGAAUUCUAUUACAUAUAUAAAGAGAAAUAAUAACAAGUAUUUAUAAAAGGAAUAAUUAUGAAUGCUACUACAUAUAUAAAGAGUAAUAAUAACAAGUAUUUAUAAAAGGAUAGACACAAAUAAUACAUACAAAUAUUUCCUCAACAUAAUCACAUAUGAAAUAAUAAUUAUGAAUUCUAUUACAUAUAUAUAAAGAGAAAUAAUAACAAGUAUUUAUAGAAGGAAUAAUUAUGAAUGCUAUUACAUAUAUAAUAAAGAGUAAUAAUAACAAGUAUUUAUAAAAGGAUAGACACAAAUAAUUUUAGGCGCAUGUAAAUAAUAAUUAUAAAUAAAAUUACAUUAAAUUACAAUAUAAUCACAUAUAAAAUAAUAAUUAUUACAUGUAAAUUACAUAAGAAUAUUCUCUAAAAUUUUACUGUUUUUAUGGUUUUACUCAAUUUCACUAAACAAAUAAAUUACUAAAGUAAAAAAAAAGAAAAUCUCCUCUCCCUCCUCUUCCCGGCCCAGCCCGUGACUCCCUCUCCCCUCCUCUCUCCCUCUCUGUGGUAGGUGGGCCCCACGUGUCGGGGUCAUCCCUAACCUCUACGCUCGCCUAACCCCGCCGCCCGCACGCCGCCUCGCGCCGCGUGCUCGCUUCGUUGCCCGCGCAGCCACGCGCGUGCCUAACUUCUUCCCUGCCGCCGCCGCUGCGCACGCAUACGCAGAGAGAGGGAGAGAGAGAGAGCAAGGCGUGGAAGCUCACCGCAAUGGUUCAGGAAGGCUGCGUGCGAGGGAGAUGGAGGAAGAUGGCGGCGUUGGAUUUUUGGGCAGCCUGCUGGUGUCGAAGAGGAAACUGGAGCGCCGAUUACUUAGACAACAUUUUGGAAUCGGAGCGCGGGGUAUAUAUCGAAAUCAUUUGUACAGGCUGUUGUCUUAGCCAACCGCCAGUACAAAUGCAUUAGUACAGGCGGUUGACUAAGAGAACCGCCAGUACUAAUGCAUUUGUACUGGCGGUUGGCUAAGACAGCCGCCAGUACUAAUGCACUAGUACUGGCGGUUCACUCCGAGGGCCGCCUGUAUAAAUGUAUAUUCAGUUUAUUUAAAGUUUUUCUUAUAUAUAUUUUUAGAAAUUUUUAAAUGAUUCAAAAAUGUAAUAGCCGAUUUUAAGGACAAAAUCAGAUAUGCACCAUAUGUGAGUUUUAGAAGUCAAAUCUCACAUAUAGCUAUAAAUAAGGAGUAAUAUCAAAAGACAAUGUAUAAAUUAUUAUAUAACGUACAUAAUAAAUUAGAGAUAACCUUAAGCAGCAAACAACGGUAGAUAACUCCAACUUCGGGUAUUAACUCCACUCUACAGGAUCCAACUGACUGGUUGAUCACAAGCCUAAACUUCUCCUGAGGUUUGGGGAAUAUAGCAAGAGUGAGUCAAUGUCGAACUCCACAAGUAUAGCAACUAGAUUGUAUAUAUCCCACAAUCUCAUGAUCAAUGUGACAUAAAUAGUGUAAAGCAUUAAACAAUAAAUAAUGAGCAUAUUUAACACACAAGAUUCAUCACCCUUAAUGUAGAUGUCCCCAAGGCCGCUUCUGACCGUGAGCUCGACUAGUAUACUAGUUUUUAACAUUCUGCAGAGGUUGUACAUCUUUGCCCAUGAGUCAUGAUUUACCCUUUCGCCCAAGGUCGCGAGUCUCUUAACCCCCUUCCAAGGGAGGUCGGCAGGGAUCACUAUGAAGCCUUUCAAAGGUUUCGUCUAACAAGUUAGGGCCAUUAGAUUCACUCGGCAGGCAGAUAUAGAGCCCCCCUUCCACGGCACAUAACCCGGAGCCUAUACACACGGACAGAGGCCACACUAUACCCAACGUGUCUAGCCAUUCUUACGCCAUUUAAAGUAACCGCUAACAAGCUAGAAAAAGGUCCUCAUACUGAGCUAAAGCCAGAGCCAUUAUAGCCCUCAUGGUUGCAGUGUUAUCCCGGGUGAUCACGUACAGGCAAAUCAUCAAGUUGCUAAAAAGUCACUUUUAUCAUUUAUUACUUAACAUUAAUCUAGUCACAGGAUCAUGGUCACAGAAAUAAAACCCAAAUGCUAUACUUGCCUUAAUCCAAUUGCUCUUGCUGAUCUUGCUAGUUGCCAAAGCUCUGAUCUUGAUCACUAAAGUACUCUUGUGCACCACGAAUUGUUCACCGUCUAAACUCGAUCAUAAAUCACACAAACAAUCGAAGAAAACUUACACAAAGCAAACACGGCUACAAUUAGAACAGUACACCAAUCAUAUAAAAACAGUAUGAAAAGUUUGUAAAAUGAUUCUACGCAUUGCUACGAUUUCAUAGACGUAAAGAUCAUGAAAAUCAGAGCUAAAACGGAGAAGAUAUGAAUUUCUAAAAUUCUCUUUUGAAAAGUAAUUAAUUAAAUAGGAUCACGAAAUCAAAAGGUUUCAAACUGGUUGAAUAAUGAUACUAACUCGUAGUUUUUGUGAAAACGAACCUAAUGCAAGUUGAACAGAUCAAAUCGGAGUUAAAAAAAAUAAUAGAUAUAAGCUAAACAAGGUACCUCUGUGGCUCUGUGUAGGAGAGAGUAGACAGUUAUGAUUAGUAGACCCAAGCAUCGAUAGACCUGGAAUUUAGGAAUAUAUAUAUAUAUAUAUAUAUAUAUGAAACAAGGAUGGAUUAUUGGGCAAGAUCAAAACGCUUUGAUCGAUGAAACAAUGGACAGAGCUGACCUUUAUCUGUCCACCGUGGUGCUUGCUGUUAUGUCAUCGGUAGAGAAAACAUUGGCUUUUCGUGGAGAUCCAUGUGUGCUUGAUGUCAUGGUGCAUUGCACGGCAGAGAAACUUGGAAGCUGCAGGUCGACGGUGCUGGCUAGCUUCUAGGGCAGAUGCACGAUGAGGUGUUACGUGAUGCAAAAAUAAUGGGGUGGCCUGGGAUGUAUAUGAUCGACUCAAGGAGUUGGAAGAGAUUUAAUAACUAAUUUAAUACCUAGAGAUUCCCAAACUAGAAACUCUCCAUAUGGUAGUUUUUAGUAUGCUUAAACCAAGGAGUUGUACAUAUAUAUAUAGAGAGAGAAAAACACUUCACAUACACAUCAAUUAGCAAUAUGGUAUUAAUUGAUGUUGCAACCUUCAUCUUUACUAAUAGGCCUAAUGAAUUAUUAAAGUCCAUUAGUAAAUAAAGACAAAGGCCUCUGAUAGUUAGUGGAAAAUAAGAGAUUUAUUAUUUUCGAAAUUAAUUAAUUUUGUGGAUAAAAUAAUUCUAGAAAAGUCUAGAAUUACUAUUUAAGCCGCAAAAGUACUCCGAAAGCUCCAAUAAUUUAGGAAAAAUUCUUGGAGACAUUAUGGAAGAUGAAGACCCUAAAUAAAGUAUUUGUAGCUCAUGAUGAGAUAUUUUGAAGCAUCUGAAAAUUAGAUCAUGCUCACAGAAGAGUGAGAACAGAAGCUGGAAAAAUUUCCGAAAGUUUGUAGAGAUUGCUUGAUGGAUGAGGAACUAAAAGAAGUGCUUUGAGUGACAAAGAAAAGAUUUUAGAAAACUUCUAAUAAAAACUUGAGCUUAGAAACAAGGAAUUUGGUUGUAGAUAAAGAUAAAGACGUACCGGUCAAGAAAGAUCGAUCUACUAAACGCAUUUUAAAAACUUUGCUCACUCAACACAUAAAGGAGCAACAAGCAAACAUUACAUCAAAUCCUAUGCACCAGCAUGUAUGCAUAAUAAUUUUUGCUAAGCCUUAUGAUAAAUUUUAAUUUAAUGAAAAAUAUUAUUUUUUCUAUAUUUUCAUGAGCACAACAAUACAAAAUUAAUUAAUUUUAUCUAUAUUUCAAAAGGAGUAAAUUUUAGGGUGUUACAAAAAAAAUCAUAUCUUCAAAAAUAUUUGUCCUAAAUUAGUGAAAAUUUUUUUGUUGUGUUCCUCUUGACCAGAUACACAUGUUAAAAAUAUGAAAUUUCAAGUUUGAGGUACUUUUGUAUGCAGCUUUACUUAAAAUGAUUUAAGAUUGAAUGUGUGCCUCAUAUCUUGUUUAAUACAUAAAUAAUUCUACGAAUACCAGAAAAAUAUAAAUUCAAUUUUGUUAGCUUUAUUGUAGUGUGUAAAUGCUAUGAAAAAUAUAUUCCUUUGUGCAAUUUAUCGUUGACAAUAUAAUUAUGAGGAACCCAUAUGCUUGAGCAUAGUUCGGUGGAAUGGCUCUUCUAUGUUUGUGAAGCAUGUAUCUUAUUCCUAUCUCCAAAUGUCUUGACAUUUUUUUGGCAAUCUUCUACACUCAAAUGAUGACUCCACACAAGAUCUUAGGAAUUUCUGGUCAUGCAAGCUAUUAUUACAUUUUUCUUUAUGCUAAAUGACAUGAAAAAUGGUGGACUACACCUAGAUCCCACUAGGUUUUUCCACCAACCACAAGAAAGUUUUAUUUCCUAUGGUAUAUAAGACCCUGUGGAGAAGUUUGGCACCAUUUGGAGUCAUUUCAGGGGUAGACUUAGUUCAAGCGCUAAUUAGUGGGUGACGUCGCGCGGAAAUUCAAUUAAACCGGAUAAAGUAACAAACCACAUCAGAAAAAUCCCAAACUUGAUGGAUUGAAUAUCAAUGGCACUAGUAAGCCUUGGUAAAAGUUUGAGACCAAUACGAUACCAAAGUGUUAUGACAUGGUAAGUCUUAGAUGUAGAAAUAAGCAUAGGGUCUUACAUGUAGAAAUAGAGAAGGGCAUAUAGCAUAAGGUACACAUUUUAUCAUAAAUGGAUUACAUGGCAAAUGAUAAAUAAAAUCUAGGCAGCUAUUGUUCUUCCUUGUGCAUCAUGACGAACCUAGAGCAACGAGCUUUAUGGAAUGCUUCGCUCAACAUUCCUUAUCUUUACUGGAUGGUCAACUACAAAGAGAGACAUGUCACUAAACUAGUUAAAUUCAUCCAAGUCAGAUACACCAUCAACUCCGAUGGCUUGUUGCUUUCCAAGGAAAACUACGUACUUUGGAUGGUCCGUAAUUUUCUUCUUAUCAUUAGGAGAGAGGACCUGCGCAGCAUAGAAGACCUGUGCAGCACGGUUAGCUAUUAUCUAUGGAUCAUCUUUGUAGCCUACCUUGCUUAGAUCUAGAACUCUAACCCCAUAGUUGUCCACUGUGACAUGUUUGUCUUUAACCCAUUGACACCAAAAUACAGGGAUGUGAAAUGUACCAUAGUCUAGUUCCCAUAUGUCCUCAACAAAGCCAAAGUAAGUUGUUUCCUCACCAGUUUCAGAGUCUAAGGCGUCGCAUCGAACACAAUUAUUUUGUGCCAUGCUCUUUUGGUCCUUGGACUUGGUACAGAACAUGAAGCCACUAAUGUCAUAGGUUUGCCAAGUCAUGACCUGCGUGAUGGCCCAGAUGCCAAGACAUUGAUGGUGCGAUCCUCGAUUGUUUCCCCAUCUAGAAUGUCCUACUCCCUUAGCCAUGAGGUGAACUAAUUCUUAUGUUCCUUCAUUAUCCAUUCAUCUGUGUGCCCAUGAUUAUGUUUUUGAAGCUCUUCAAUGUGUAGAUUGAUCAAAGGCUCCAUUAUCGAGAGCUGAUGCAGGACACUGUGAUGUGCUUCGAGGACUCAAUUGUAAUCUUUUGGGACGUAUGAUUUCUUUCCCAUCCUACCUCUUCCAUUCAGCCUACCCUCGUGUUGUGACGGAGGCAAACCUAUUGCAACCUGGUCUUUUAGGACCCUAUUGCAGAAUGGACCUCCAGACUCAAUGGCCUCUUCGGUUAAGUACCCCUCUACCAUAGACGCCUCUGGACGAGCACGAGUUGAUACAUAGCCAUUUAGUAUUGACAUAAAAUAUUCAUACGUCCACAUCUCAUGCAAAUACAUGGGUCCCAAUGCCUCUAUUUGUGAAACCAAGUGCACCACAAGGUGAACCAUCACAUUGAAGAAUGCUGGGGGAAACACAUCUCAAACUGUGACACUGUCUCCACUGUGAAUUCCUUAAGAGACGCCAACUCAUCAUGUUCAAUCACCUUCUAUGAGAUCCUAUUGAAGAAGUAGCACAACCGUGUAACUGCAACCUUUAUCCACACUGGGUUUAUAGCCCUAAUGGCAAUAGGGAGGAAAGUAGUCAGUAUGACAUGACAAUCAUGUGAGUUGUAGUUGGUGAGUGUAAGGUCUUUCAUUGACACAAUACUCCAUAUGCUAGAGCAGAAUCCAGAUGGGACUUUCAAAUACUUCAACCACAUACACACAUCGCAUGUUUCUCUUCAUUGUUGAGGUUGUAGCUUGCUGCCGGGAGGUGGUACUUCCCAUUUUCUAGCCUAACAGGGUGAAGUUCUUUUUUUAUGCCUAACUGUACCAUGUCCAAGCAUGAAUUUAAUCCUUCCUUUGUCUUGCCCUUCAUGUCCAACAAGGUGCCAAUUACGCUUUCAAACAUGUUCUUCUGAACGUGCAUACCAUCGAUCGCGUGGCGUACGUCUAACUCUGGCCAGUAUUCCAAAUACUCGAAGAAAAUUGACUUCUUGAAUGUAGCCCCUGGAGCUGGUUUGACAUUCUUUCUUAGUUUUCCAUCUUUUGUCUUCUUCCCAAAAACAAAUUUGAGUUUGCUGACUAUGCUGAAAACUCUUUGGCCUUUACUGUUACCUGAUGGAGCACUAGUCUGUAGUUCACUAUUAUUGUCAAAGUACUUAUCCAUCUUUUUCAGCCGGUACCUAUGUCCUUUUAAUAAGAAGCAUCUGUGCCUCAUGUACACUAUCUUCUUAGAUGCAGUUAGGGACACGUAAGCAGUGUCAUCUAUGCAUACCACACAACCAAGCUUUCCCUUGAACUGCCCUGAUAAUGUAAAGAGAGCUGGGUAGUCAUUGAUCGUAACAAAGAUAAUUGCUCUCAGUGUGAAUGAUUCUUUGCGGUACUCAUCCAACAUUUGAACACCUGUUUCCCACAGUAUCUUCAUGUCCUGCAUUAAGGGCUCUAAGAAAACAUCCAUAUCAACUCUAGGUUGUGUAGGUCCACAGAUAAGUAUGGUUAAUAAACGGUACUUUCGCUUCUGCAUCAACCAUGGAGGGAGGUUGUAGAUGGUGAGGAUCACUGGCCAUGUGCUGUGCUUGCUGCUCCUCUCAGCAAAUGGAUUCAUUCCGUCAGUACUCAGUGUGAACCAAACAUUCCUUGUUUCAUUAGCAAAGUCCUUGUGGUUUUCAUUGAAAUCUUUCAAUAGCUGGCCAUUGGCUGGGUGUCGAAGCUUCCCAUCGUCUUUGUGCUCAUCAGAAGCGUGCCAGCUCAUAAGUUGGGCAUCCUCUGGGUUAGCAAACAAACACCUCAAUCGAUCGAUCACAGGAAGGUACCAGAUCACCAAAGCAGGAAUGUGUUUCUGCGCAUAAUAGUCUACUUAUUCCUUUUCUUUGCCGGUGGGUUUUGAACUACUCUUCUGGGUCUUUUGUUGGGCCUUCUUUUGUUUUCUCCCUUAGGCACAGAGGCAACACACUCUUCCUCUAUGUAGUCUUUAUUUGUCUUGUACCUACUUGCACCACACUUGGGACAACUGUCCAAGUCCCUAUAAUCAUCGCCUCGAUAUAGGAUACAGUGAUUUCUACAAGCGUGGAUUUUCUCAACACCCAUUGUGAGUGGGCUGAUUAGCUUCUUUGCAUAAUAUGUGUUCGCAGGCACUUUGUUAUCCUUAGGAAGCAUGUCUGCGAUAAUGCUUAAGAACGCAUCAAAGCCAACAUCAGAAAGACAAUAUCUAGCUUUGCACACCAACAACUUUAGCACAGACCGCAGCGUCGUGAACUCUUUGGUGCAACCCUUGGACUCAUCAUACAAAGGCUCUUCUACUGCCUUCAUUAGGGCCUCCAUACCUUUCAUGAAGAACACUGAUGGAUCUUCCGCAUGACGACGCAACAUUGCCUCUAGAAAUUCUGCAUCUUCCGCAGCCAUGUUAGUUUUGGUGCCAUCUUCAUUUCCUCUAGUAAAACCAUAAUCAGGAACAUUUGGCACAACAUGUUCAGUGGCUAGACCAUCGGUAUCAGGUUGUUGUGUCUCGUGUACGAAUUCAAACCCGUCAACAAUUCCAGUUGUAUAAGGCGUAGAGCUACCCUCUCCAUGCUUUGUCCAAAUCAAGUAAUCUUUCAUAAAUCCUCGACGGAACAGAUGAGUAAGGAUUUGUUGAAUGUCAUCAUAUACAACAAGAUUUCUACAGUCCAUGCAUGGACAGUGUAUGUGCGUCUUUCUUGUUCUUGAAGCAUGGUUUUGAGCAGCAUCAAUAAACCUCUGGACCUCAGUUAUGUAUGAUGGAUCUAGUCUUGAUAAAUUAUACAUCCAAAAUGACCUUUCCAUCACUACCUGUAAAACACCAUUCAUAUGAUCUAAGGGUUUACAAAGGAUUUAUCUAGGGUUUAUUAGCUAGGGUUUAUGGUUAAGCUUGAGAUUAAAGGAAAAAAACCUAAGUUACAUAAUUAAAAAAUAAUCUAAGUAUAGCAUAACUAUAUAAAUACAUCAUUCAUUAUAAAUAGAUAGAUGAUGUGCAAGGUGAUAAUAAAAACCUAACUACCAUAUAAUUAAAAAAAUAAAAAAUCAACAAUUAUCUCUCUACAUAAAUAUACAAGAACACACCAUUGGUUUAAUCUUGUAAAAACUAGCUAAAUUGAGAAGCAAACAUGUUGAGAGACAUUAUCCAACCAUAUUAAGCAACCCCAUCUAACCAUAUCAAUAAAUAAAGACAAGAAGUUAGCUAUUCUUCUCUCUCACUCAUGGAACAUACAUACAUGUGGAUAAAUAAAUUGAAAAAUUUAUAAAGAGAGAGAGAGACAUAAAUUAGAAAACCUAAUUAUAGCAUAACUAUAUAAAUACAACAUUCAUUAUAAAUAAAUAGAUAGAUGAUGUGGAAGGUGACAAUAAAAAACCUAACUAUCAUAUAAUUAAAAAAUCAACAAUUAUCACUCUACAUAAAUAUACAGGAACACACCAUUGGUUUAAUCUUAUAAAAACUGGCUAAAUUGAGAAGCAAACAUGUUGAGAGACAUUAUCCAACCAUAUUUAAUAACCCCAUCUAACCAUAUCAACAAAUGAAGACAAGAAGCUAGCUAUUCUUCUCUCUCACUCAUGGUGAAACCCUAGCUCCAAAAAGUGGCUCAAAUUGAGCUAGAAUGAGCAAAUUGAGGCAAUAAGGACAUAAACUAAUCUUUUUUAGCAACCUCCUUCACAGAAAUGAAGAUCAAAACCUCCCCCUUGUAUUUUGAGAAAUCUGGAACUCCAAAAUCGCCCCCAGUAGAAGGUGGGUGCGAGAUACUGUUCUGGUCGGGGAGGAAAAAGAGGUAUUUAUACAGAGAUACCACAGGCGGUUGCUUAAGCCAACCGCCUGUCUAAACAUUUUCCACAGGCGACUGACUUAAGCAAACCGCCAGUGUAAAUGCUCCAUUUACGCUGGUGGUUUGCUUAAGUCAACCGCCUGUGAAAACCGUUUAUCACAGACGGUUGGCUUAAGCCAGCCGCCACUGUAAAUGGAGCAUUUACAUUGGCAGUUGGCUUAAGUCAACCGCCUGUGAUAAACGGUUUCCACAGGCAGCUGGGAUCUCUGACACCGCCCUAUUUAUACCACAGGCGCGUCGUAACUGGAACCGCCUGUGGUAUAAAAAGGGGGCGCCACCUAUGAGCCUGAUUCUACUAGUGGAAAGAAACGAAUUAGCAGGUCUUGGGAUUUUCAUCCUAGAUCCAAGAAGUAAUCUAAAGCUCUACAUCAAGGUUCAAAUCUACAACAUCACCUCGGUCGUCAUGGCCGAAGCUGCGGCUAUGGCUUUUGCAGCCAAAGCUUCUUCUAGGCUUCAGAUUGAGGAAGUUUCUUUCCUCACUGACAGCCAACUCCUGGUGAACUAUUUCAAUGGUCCUGACCUCAACCAUCCACCACAUUGGGAUGCAAAGCCUUUCACUCAAAGAUUCAUAAACUCAGUGGCCAACAAAAGGAUCCAAGUGCUCAAGGUUAAAAGGAAUAUGAAUGUUACAGCUCAUACUCUAGCUAAUCAAGCUUUCAAAUUCUCUGGAAUGCUUUGUAAUGUGGCAAGUGUUAAAUGUUCAAAUGUCUCUCAUGCAAGUAGCUGCCCCCUCCUAAUGGCACUACAAUCUGUAUCCUGGGAACCUUUCUCUAUCAUUGCAGCUAGUUGCUGCUAAUAAAAGUGUGUAUUUUGUCAAAAAAAAAAAGUCCACUCUGUUGCACUCAAAAUUUAACAUAAUGACACUUGUUAAUUGUUAUACAUUGUGGGUUGAUAUUUCAUAUUGAAUUUUCAUAUACUGACAGUAUUUGAUAUAAUUUCGUUUGAAUUGGUUUGUUUUCGAAAUUCUUUACCGUUUCUAUUUUUAUUUUCAUAUUUAAAUGUAAAAGUAUAAAAUGAUUGAAGAAUUUUCCAACCAUUUCCCACCAUUUUCAUCCUCGCUCCUGCGUAUCCGGGCCGCGGCCUUCUAGGACGGCGAAAGGUGAUGGCACCCCAUGCGUUUGACCCUGUACCGGAAAGCACGACAAGUCAGCAACUAGAAUUUGGUGCAGAACAUCAUUCAGUGCACCGCAUGACCGGGUGUUUUAUUUUAAUUUUGGACGGCGACCGACACGAGCGAAGGCUAGCUGCCAACACACACGCGGGCGCAGGAGUUAGAGCUUUUAUGUGCAUGCAAAAAUGCGUACAACCGGAUGAGCGGCGAGUCGGCGACCCUAAUACUACUAUAAUAAGCCGCGGGAUCUCCAUCGUCUCCAUAAUGUGUGGAUGGGAUGAGCUGAGCAUGAAACACCAGCAGCAGCGUGUGGACGACGGCCGUUUCACACACCGAUACGCACGCGCCGCAUUUCUAGCUAUAGCUAGCUUUUUUUUUUUGCCUCAUGCCUUGUUUAGUUACAAGUUUUUUUUUACAAAAUAGACACCGUAACACUUUGAUUUAUAUUUGAUAAAUAUUGCCUAAUCAUAGAUUAACUAGGCUCAAAAGAUUCGUCUCGCAAAUUAAAGGUAAACCGUAUAAUUUUUUUUUAAACAUGGGCUGAUUGGCCUCGUUCGCGAAAAAAUAAUUAGUUUUUAUUUUAUCUAUAUUUAAUGCUCCAUGCAUACAUUUAAAGAUUCGAUGUGAUGAGGAAUAUGAAAAAUUUUGUAAAAUUUUUUGAGAACUAACAAAGCCUCAUUUAAGUUCAGGAUAUAAAGUUUUGGGAUCACUUAUAUACGGAUGUCACCUUAAAUAUUUAGAUAGUAAUAAUAAAACAAAUUACAAAGUUUUUAGUGCUCUGCGAGACAAAUUUAUUAAGCUUAAUUAAUAUGUCAUUAGCAUAUAUUUAUUUUAGUUUUACUGUAGCAUCACAUUAUCAAAUCAUGGACUAAUUAGACUUAAAAGAUUUAUCUCGUAAAAUAGUUGCAUUCUAUGUAAUUAAUUAUUUUUUAAUCUAUAUUAAUAUUCUAUAUAUGUGUCCAAACAUCCGAUGAGAUAGGGAGUAAAUUUUAGGGAAAAUAGUUCUAGUUUGACUACAUAUUCUAGAGGUUAUUUGUGUUCAUUAUACUAAGGACAUUAUUAGAUCACCUUUCUAAACUUUAGAGCUCAAAUAACUAAGGACAUUAUUAGAGCUCAAAUAACUUUAUAGCACUUUAGCUCAUUUUUGAGGUCUAAAGUUCUAAUUAAUGUGAUGGGCUAAAGUUUAGAGCUAACUUUAGACCACUCUAUUUAGAGCUUUAACUCUAAAAUUUAGAGGAGAGGAUUGAAACAGACUCAAACUGUAGGUUUUGCUCCGUACCACUGCCAUUCAUACUGUAGGUUUUCUGGUGGGCUUCAAUUUUUUUUAUUAUAAGUCAAUCUUGGUGAGGGUAUCAUAUGAGUUCGAUGUGCAUGAAAUAAAUAAACUACCACUUCACAAAUAUGUUGUUAUAGAAUAAUAGUAAUAAAGAGAGAAGACUAAAAUUUUAUAGGAGUAAAAUAAGUUUUAUUGGAAUACACUAUUUUUCCAACACAUGGAAUCUUAUAUAAAUUAGGAUACCAAAUCAUCGUCGAAUCAAAAUAGACGAGGCGAAGAGUUUUGCUUGUUUGGAUUUCUCGAGUAAAGACAAUGCAGUCAAUUAGUAGCUAAUACUUUAGCUUUGUUAGCUAGACGGUGUAAUUAUUAUGUGGCCUCGUCAGGACAAGCACCUGUGUCUAUAAGGAGCAUCUCCAAUUGUUUGGCAAAACUCGUUUCUCAAACCUUAUUGUUUACCAACUUUUAAAAUAAUAUAGGAAGAAAAAAGGAUCAAUCUCUAACAGUUUGGCAAAUUUUGUUUCUAAAAACCCGCUGACGAAGCGAAGAGCCCCGCGAAACGAACGAACAGCCUCGCUAAGUGAACGAAGAGCCUCACUAAGCAUCAGAAGAAAGACCGAUGUCAAGCACGGUGCCUGCGCGCUAGAUAAGGAGAUAUGCCAAGUUAAGAUGGAGAAUAGGGAUGCCAAACUAUUGAAGAGGAUUUUUCUUUAUUUUGAUAGAAAAAAUUAUGGAUGAGAAGUUAUUUGGCAAACUGUUGGAGAUGCUACUUAAUAUCGAUUGUAACUCUCGUAUAUCUAGUUAAUAAAGUUCUCUCUUUGCUUGAAAAAAAAUGAUACCAAAUAGACCAGCCUCAUUAUUUUCACUAGAAAUAGGGUUCUAUUUGGUUCACGCCGCUAAACUUUAUUUCUUAUCAUAUCAUAUUAGAUGUUUGAAUUGAUGUAUGGAGUAUUAAAUAUAAAUUAUUUAUAAAACUAAAAACAUAAAUAAAGAAUAAUUUAUAAGAUGGUUUAGAUAUAAUUAAUAUAUAAUUAAAUAUUAAUUAUUAUAGUUAUAGAUAUGCUACGGUGUUUAUUAAACUUUAGUCCCUCCGACUUGGCCGGCCCAUAUGACCUGUCCAUCAACACGCGACACACACGACGAGAAGAGCAGGCAACACCCGACCAUUCCGGUCGCCGGGUCGGAGCGAUCGUCCAAUGAAACGUCAUGGAUCGAAUCCAUCCAAUGCACAUGAUCGAUAGGUGUAACACAACUACGUGCCCAGUACAAUAAGCAUGUAUAUGAAUCAUGCAUGCAUCAACAAUCGUACUGCGAGUUAUUAAUUUGGACGUCGACACGUAAGAGCCAGAUGCUCCUGGUAGCACGGUUGCAUGAUGGAUAGAGGGGUCCAUACAAGAUCAGAUUAUUGGACCCAAUCCACGGUCAGCUCCGGAGUCCGGUUUUCUCGAGCCUACACAGCGAAACAAAGACAGGAACUCCAAGAUAUAAGCACUCAUGGUUGUAACUUGUAAUAACAAUAAAUGCUAGAUUAAUCUAUAUCUAAAUUUUAGGUUAAUGAUAAAGAAUGAUUUAUUAUCAGACAAUUCACAAAGAUCAUAAUCAACUGAUGUAUAGUUGUACAAUCUGUUCGAUAAUGAGUGGAUUCGAUUCUCGAUUCAGAAUUUAAAAACCGAGGAAGUGCCAUGACCCGGAAACCAACCUGAAUAAAACUUUGCUGAAAACCACUUGUUAAGUUGAGUUGAGCUCUUGCUCUGAUCUCAUAAACCACAACCUCAGGUGCAACCCGGAAAAGAGCCCUAUCCCUAAGUCAAGCAUGGCUUUGAUCUUCGGACUAAUCUUCUCAAAUAUCUUUAUCGAGCAUCUUGUUUGUCCCACCUGGUUAUCCUUAGUUGUUUGACUGUCACACCCAUAUUUUAAGAACAAAAUAGGAUGCAUAAAAGACUCAUAUAUGCCCCAGGAAUAAAGUUGAGCAUGCAGCCCGCGGGCCAAAGGCACGGCCCAAAGCACGGUCAUUUGGCCCGGCCCGAGCACGGCACGGCCCGAUCCUAACUGGGCCCGGGCCGGCCCGAAGCACGUUGCGGGCCGUGCUUGGGCCGACCCCUCGGCCCGCUGGACGGCACGGCACGACACGCUUUUAACAGCAGGCAUGGUGUCGGCACGGUAUCAGGAAAUUUGUGAAACUUGAAGUAUCAGAUUCUAUGACUUGUGAAACUUGUGACUUUUGGCAAAUAAAAUAUGAUCUGAGAGUAUAUUGUGUUAUGUGAAUUGUGAAGUAUUAAUGUAUGUGACUUGAAUGUAAUGUAUUUAUGCUUUGUUAAAUUCUGUAUUAAAUUUGGUGUUUUUCAUAUAUUGGGCCAUGGGCCGGCCCGAAGCACUAUUGGGCCUCGUGCCUUUCGGGCCGGCCCGGCACGAAAAUCGGCCCACGGGCCGUGCUUGGGCCGUCAAGCAGGCACGAUGGGCUGUGCAUGCACGGCCCAGUGGCACGCGGGCCAUACGGGCCCGUGCCCUUUCGGGCCGGCCCGUUGCUCAUACCUACCCAGGAAUAGUCGCACACAUAAGUAGACAAAUCUCAAAUGUACCAUUGCAGUAUCUAUUACAUAGCGGAACAUAAUAAAUCACAUAGUCCUAUACAUAAAUGAUAGCAAGAUGUAAACAACGCUCUCGACGGAAGCUCCACACAGGGACUCUGUUGACUGAUUGACUCCAAACCUAGUACUCAUAACGGUAGUCCUCAAUCCAAUCACCAUCAUUUGCAUAACCUGGGGUGUUGGGAAAUUGCAAGAGUGAGCACAUAUCGUACUCAACAAGUAUAACCAGGGGUUCAUGAGGCUCAAAUAGCUGACACUGGUUUGACUGCAUUUAGCUUUUAAUAGUGGAUAACAUAUUCAUAAUCAAAUAGCAAUUGUCAAGGAAGCAUAAAUAAUCCAUUAAUCACACGAUCAAGUGUAAGCAUAAUUAAUCUCAGCAUAAACGAUAAUCAAUUGAACUAACAACUUAACAAGCUCAUCGUCGUCGCAGCAAGAACCCCCAAGGCCGCUCAUAACCGUGAGCACGGCUCGUAUACUAGUUUUAACACUCUGCAGAGGUUGUAUAUCUUUACCCAUAAGUCAUGAUUUACCCUUUCGCCCGAGGUAGCUAAUCUCUUAACCCCCCUCCUAGGGUGGUCGGCAGGGAUCACUAUGAAGCCUUUCAAAAGUUCAUCUAACAUGCAAGGUUUCCUUUGCGAGCAGAUAUAGAUACCCCCUUUCGAAUGGCACAAUGACGCGCAGCCUAUACACAUAGGGACAGGGGCUCGCACUAUACCCGUGUCAGUUCAGCCCCUCCGCCCUUUUAGGUAACCUCUAACAAGCUAGAAAAAGUCUCCAUACUGAGCUAAAGCCAAAGCCAUUAUAGCCCUUAUGGUUGCACUGUUGUCCCGUGAUCACUUACAGACAAUAUCUCAUAUAGUUAUUUGUCAUCUUUUAACGUUCAUUGCAUAGCUAUUAAUCACCUUACAAGAUCAUGGAUUAUAUCAAGCACUAGCACAUCUACACCAAAUGCAUAUCAAGUAGGUAACAAGGAAUCCAGGUAACAAUCAUCUAUGAUUGUGCUAAGGUCGACAAGGUGAUAGCAUGUAUAUGAUAUAUAUGUGUAGUUAUAAGUGAAUAGGUAACAAGGAUGAUCCCAAGUUAUACUUGCCUUGAUCAAAGCUCUCCUGAGCCUGCUGGUCUACAAAAGUUUGGUCUUGAUCACCAACGUACGGCUCACCGUCUAUUCCCAAACAUCAAUCAACAACACGCAUUCCAAUGUAGACAAUCAUACACAAAGCAAACAAGAUAUAAUUAGAACAUUAUACCAAACAGUGGUAAAACAAAUAUAAAAGUUUAUGAAAAUAUUCUACGCAGCGCUACGAUCACACAAACGUAAAGUUCACGAAAAUCGGAAUUAAAACGUAGAAGAUAUGAAUUUUCUAAGAUUUCCUAUAGAGAAAUAAUUAAUUAAAGCUACUGCAGAAUGAAAAAGUUUCAAAACAGAGAAUAAAUAAUUCUAACAUGUAGAGCUCGUAAAUACGAAUCUAACGAAAUUUGAAUGGACAAAAACGGAGUUAAUAUGAAUAUUUUAUAAGCAAUUUAAGUUCAGUGGCAAUUCUGUAAUUAUUGGAAAGUGCAUUUUAGAUUCAGCCGACCAGAAUACGCCUUCUGAAAUGGAAAACGUAAACUUGAAAAUGCGUAAAGGAUGGCGGGUUGAAUAGCAAAAUCUCCAGGGGCUCUUUAACAAUUUUCCCUGGCGAAAAGGUAUGUUUUAAUCUGGGCCCUUGAUCUUCAAAUGAACGGUCACGAUCUGCUCCUAGGGGGGCCUCGGCAGGCCGGCCGGUCGGCUCCCUGCUCCGGCGCGGCGACGCCAUGGUCAGAGAGCCGGAGCUCGCCGGCGUCGUGCGGCUUCUCGUUUCCGAGCACCAAAACUCAAGCCGAGCAUACCGGAAGAAAGAGGAGAGAGAGGCGAGCUCACCACGGGGUUCGAUUCGGCCAGGGAACGAACCGAGAGCUCACACGACGCGGCGGAGCGGCUUCGGCCUAAACUGGAUCUCGACCGAGUUUGCUGGAGUGUCUAGGGCUUGGUUUCGCGGCGCGUUUGAAACAACAGAGUGCGACCGAGGUCUAAGACCUUUAUAGGGGGCUCGCGGCGCACGGAGAACGAUCAAUCCCGAGUAUCACGGGAUUGCUUCGGUGCGGUUUCCUACUGGGUUACGAACAAGAGAAAGGAAGGUGGAAGAGAGGGAGCUGACGUGCGGGCCCAAGCUGUCAGCCAGAGGGCGCUGGGUCCCGGUCGUCGGUCACAGAGAGGAGGGGAGAGUGGAGAGUGCGCGCGCGGGCCGGCCUGGAUGCUGGGCUGAGGGGGGGGAGCUGGGCCGCGUUAGCAGGCCGGGGGAGGUGGAGGCGCGGGGGGGGGGGGGAAGGGACUGGGCUGGCUAGGGUUCUUCCCCCUUUUCUUUUUAUUUUCUUUUUCAAAAGCAUUUUCACAAAUUGAGUUUUUGUGCACAAAUUAUUUCUAACCAAAAGCAAUCAAGCAAAACAUAAAAUAUGCUCCAGCAUGAAUGCACCAUCAAGGUUACUAUACCUAUGAUAAAUUUUAUUUUCCUAAAAAUUAUUUAUUCUCUAAAUUAAAUGCCCACAAAAAUAUUCAAAUAAAUCAAAUUAAAUCCUAUUAUUUGAAAAUCAAAUUUUGGGUGUUACAUUGACCCUAAUCUUCUCAUACCAAUACUUGAUCUUCAAACAUAGGAACCCCAAAUGGAACCCUGCAUUUCCCAAGGUGUUCAACAAAACCCACAUGUCCUGGCUACAAAGCAAGCAGACCUCACCGUAAGGGCUUAGCAACCUCUGGGAAAGCUAGGAUCAAGUGCAGUGGAACCAACAAUGAUCAUCUUUUUUAGGGAAGGCCUUCGAGGUUAUUACUUGUGAUAAGGAUUGUCCAACCCCCAAAGGCCCUUAACAACAACUCAUGGAUGUGCCUUAGGAGCAUCACCAAAUCAACUAAUAAGCCAAGAAGCUUGGCAACCAAUAAUGCCUAUAGUGUUUCAGAAGGCUGACUAUAGGAUCCCAACGUAGUGUCUGUCAAUUAGCUAGUUAACAAGUUAAUCGGUUAGCCUAUUGAAGCCCAUGAGGCCCCAAUGUACUGUGGUAUUACAGACUACUUGCCUGUCAAGACAUCAAUGGCCCUACAAUAUGCAAAUGUUCUAAUGUCCUAUUCUUAACCCCCAUGGCCCCACUUUGUCGGCUUGUGGAGAAGCCCCAUGUCACCAGACCAGCUCUCCCACUCAUCUCCUCACCACUCUCAUCAUUCCCCAUUUCUCUCUAGCCUAAGAACAAGAACAAGGAAGAAAGAACAUGAGCAAGGAGUGUGAGAUAGAUAGAGGAUUGGAUGAGUUCUCAUGAAGGCAUGGAGAAGAAUAUGAAGCUAAAGAAAUCAAUAUGAGGUAGGACAAUAUCUAUUAUAAGCUCAUGAUAUUUCCCAGUCUCUCUCAUGUUCCUAUCCUAAAUCCCUAAUUCAUAUGUGCUUGCAUGAAGGAAAUGCCUCCCCAUCCUUGGUGGCCUCUAUCUCUCAUGGGUGUAGGGACUCCAUGAGCCUAGUGUUGACACUAGCUAACACCACUUGAAUACUAGGUUGUUAUCCCCAGCAUGAUGCCAGAGUGUACAAAGGUAUUUAUAAGUAUGAAGGCUCUCUAGAAUAUAAUAUAUUCUAUCCACAAGCGCACAGAUAAAACACCUCAUUGUAGCAUUUCACCAGGAUAAGUAUUCCAGGUAUCGUUAUUUAUAAUUUUGCUUAAGAGAACAAGGGGUGAAAUUAAGAUAAAGAUAAACCUAUCAAGGCAUAAACUAGAGAUAAACUUGCAAGAACAUGAUUACUAAUGAGAAACUCGUCACACAGUCACUUACUUUGGCAGGGGGUAAACCAUAAAGAUAAUGAUAAUGAAUUAUAAGUUUAUGGGUAAAUAACACAGCGAUUAGAAAAUAGACUACUCCUCAUAUAUGUAAGGUGACGUCGGAUUAGCUAGAGAAUGGAUUCUAAGUUAUCUACUAUCUACUAAGUCACAAUCUACUCUAGUUAUCUACAAGAUCAUAUAUAGCAUAAAAGACUCUUCAUUCAUGUAUAAGGAACAUUGCUAAAGUAAAUCAGAACAUCGUAAGACUUACUCCGGAAUACAAAUUCUACAUGUCCUAUCGACGGAGGGUGGACUAUAUAAGAAUCAACGAAGCUGUCACUAUUGCGAACUACCACACGACCCGGCCAAUAGGAUACAUUUGCAGGUAAAUAACAUCUAAGCACCACGCCCACAUGUGAUCUACCACUUAACUCCCUCGAGUCAAGAGCUAAGCGCUUUGCAAACUUAUACAUAAACUCAUUAUCAAUCAUAACUAUAUCAAAUAUAGAACUAGAGCAAACUAAGAGCAUAAUAAAUAGAGACAUAAUGCAAUUAGAACAAAGUAUUAGAGAAAGAUAUGAAUAAUACCAAUCUUUAUUACCGAAGAUCCGAAUCUAGAGCGUAGUGCUCUACUUCUCUAAUUGCUAUCUAAUCAAUCCUCUAAACUUGAAGGAUUAGGGUGUAGCUAAUUCUAAUUCUCUGUGGGAGAGAAGUUCUAAACCCUAACUUUAAUGGCUACCUCAGAUAAUGAUUUCUCCUCUUCUCUUCUCUCCCCAGGGGUGGAGAGGCCUUGGUUAUAUAGUCCUUUCAAGUGAAUUUGGGCCGUCGGAUCAAACCGACAUUGAUCACACGGUUUUCCUUGAUCCUUUAGGUCGGUGGAGCACGAUCCAAGAGUUUGGUUCGGAUUGGCCCCGAGACCUGAGCGGGCGCCCAAGGGGGGAGGCGGGCGCCCUGCCCCCGAGCCCGUCCGGUCUCCGGUUCGUUCCCGUGGCUUCUGGACUUCUAGAUUGAGGAAAAUUGCACGACACGUAAUUAUCUCGUUGUAAACAUGACAUGUGGGCCUUCUCUCCAUAUUUUUUGAUAACCCCCUGCAGAAAUAGAUAAACACCAAAGCUCGUGGAAUUCUGUCAGAUAAAACCCUAAUUCUAGAUGUUUGGUGCAUAUUGAUCCUUUUCCAUGUUUAGUUGAUGGUUAAUUUUAGUACUUAAGGACCGUCAACACCUAGCUCCAUGUUUCCAUGGGUAAGUUUCUUAUCUCCCUCCCAACCUCUAUGUUGGCUCAAGCCUAGUGUUGAGCAUGGACACCACACUUAGAAUGCAUGCCACUUUCACAAACCCUAGUUCCUUUAGCUUUAUAUGCACUUAAAUUUGGCAAUAAGCACCCUUGCACAACCUAAGAAUCAUAGCUAGUGCGUCUAGAACAUCACCCACACUUUUGCUUUUGCAACACAAAGAAAACCACACUACAUAAUCUAUUAACCAUCAACAAGCUGUCAGUGGUGGUCACACAGAAUAUAUGUGGAAUAUGUAGCCCUUAAGGGACCGUAGGGUAUCAAUCAAACCAUCGGAUGAGCAGUGACCCAAUAAAAUAGUCUACCAAACUUUGCACUCAACCACACAAGACCUAGCCCAACAUAUUGCCCAUCGCACCCGAUAGAAUGUCCGUAACCACUCCUAGAGGCAUCCAAAACUUGACACCUUGGGUCCUACAUGAUUGGACUAUCUGUUGACCCCUUUUCUAGAGGCCCUACAUGUCAACACUACUUGGACCGAUAGUCAUUUCACCCAUCCAUGAACUAUCUAUGGAAACAAAGUUAAUACACAUUGUGUUGUCCACUUAAGACAAUGUCUAGUUAGGCACCUUCUACACUACACACCUUACCUUAGUUUCUAACCUAAUAGCACCUACCUAGUUCCAUUAUGUCACAUGCCCCUACCCUUUGUAUCCCAAAUCUCUUCAAGAUUAUCUACUUUCUUGCUAAGUACCUUUUGACGCUCUCAUGUAGUUCUUGCACCAAUCCUUUGCUUCUCUCAUUAGAGGAACCAUGUACCACAAGGAAUGAUCUUAAAGAAAUCAUGAUGGCCCAAAGUCAUUCGGUCUAUCAUGAUAGGAAGGCACUAUCUAAGAACUCUAUUUUGGAUACUCAUGUGUCCCUUAUAUGUCUAUUAGAUGCAUACAUGAUUAAGGAUAAUAAUCAAUUUAUACUUUCUUCACUAAUGUUUGACUAACUCUCAGAUUAGAAUACAAGGCCUAUUGUUGGCGGUCACUAAAUGCUUAUUUUGACCAUCAACAUUGCACCAACAUGAGAGAAAACAAUAGCACAAGUAGUGAUGUAUGUUUAUAAUUCACAUAUUUCCACUUGUACUUAGAGAUCUUUGCUCAUGUAGGACAACUAUGUAGAAAUGUCAAAUAUCAAGCACUAGAAGGCAAGUGGACGUGGUAGUGCCACUUGGGCCCAUAGCGUAGCACCGCUCGGUCCCCCAAGGUAGCGCUUUGCCACAUCACCAAUCUAUGGGAGCUCCUCCAGAAGCAAUACAAAGCGUUGAUCCAAGUUGAUUAAAGAUGAAGGACCGAGAAGAAGCAUCACGUAGAUCGCUAACAUGGCAUGGAUGCACAACUAACGUGAUACACAUCUACAAAUGUUCAAACCCACUCAUGACAUGUGGGGCAAGCUUCUAGAAGGUGGAGGGAGGUCCCACCUGCCAUAGGGGACUGGCUGACUCCACCCUAGGUCGCCCGACACCUCUCCCCCUCUCUCUCCACCGCCAUUUGUAGUCCUCCAUGCAAAGAAGCACAUGUCCAAGUACUCUCCAUCUUUGAUUCUAUGACAAUUUGAUCCAAAGGAGGAGAAUGGGGAGCACACGGAUUGAUGAUGUGGCAUUGAAGUAGCCUCUACUCCACAUUAGGCUAUAAAUAGGACCCUCACCCCUCACUUGUAACAGACACAUACACACACCAUAAGAGAAGCUCUCUCUCUACUCUUAAGAUGUAGUCUUAGUGAGUGGGAGUUAGAGUGAAGAGGAGCUCUUCCUAGAGUUGAGAGCGGUCUUUAGGAGUCUGGUAUAGCUUUGUAUCUCUCUCUUGCAUUACUUUUCUUAUUUCAAUAUAUUACUUUCUAUGUAAUAUAUUAUUGUCUUGCCUAGUAGUGUUGCUAUUACUUUGUUGUAGUAGUACUUUAUAUAGGUAUAUAUGUUCUCUAUUUACUUGCAUUGUAUGCCUUUCAUGUUUAUAUAGUUUACGCCUUAGUUGUUUAGCUAAAUGUGGUUACUAUAGUUAUAUUUCACUUUAGCAUAGGAUCUCUGCUCGCAUUGAAUGCUCUAGUUAUAGAUAGUGAUUAGAGUAGUAAUCGUUAGUGCAGAGACAUGGUGUCUAGGCUAGUGUUUACCUGAGUUUGUGCUCAAUCUCACGGAUAGUUGUGGUAGCCCCAUAGGUGACAACUCUAAAAGGCCUUUGUAAUCCACCACAUUAGGAUUGGUGUUCCGUAAAGCUUUUUGGCAGCCUUCCCCUCCGACCACUUCUCCUCACUUCAUUUGAGGGUCAGGAAGGUAUUGUUGCUCUAAAGUGUUAUUGUGUGUGAUUGCUAUGUUUUACCCAUGCUUAGUUAUCCCCUCUGACCUAUACUAGAACCAUAGUGAUUGAGAAGUAUAGAAACCUUGUACUCCCCCAUUGUCCUCUCACCAGUCACCAUAGAAUUCUCCUGUGUGAACCAUUAUUCAUAACUAAAAGAGCAUCUAGGCCCCUAAUGAGUUUCAGUGAUUAAUGACAAUGUUGAUUACUGUGACUAACGUGUGUUUUGCAGAGGCAAAGUAAUUAGUGUUAGGUCAUGGUAACAAGUACUCGAUCGACAGGGACGUACAUGCCUACUUAAUAGUGGAAAUCGUUUCGGUUUUCAAAGGAUGGUUGGACAUCGUCAAGAUUAGACUAGGUCUAAGUGCCAUAUGGUGAAGAAGGGCACUUAGAGUAGUUUAGGACUUUGUUUUCCUUUGACCGUACUAUUAAGAGGGGCUUUGAUCUAGUAGCUUGAAUUUGGCAAGGCUUUAGGUUUAGGUGUGGUGCACACUUGGUAAACCUAGCACUAGGCAGCUCAGAGAUAGUCCUUAGAUCGAGAGGAACAAACUUUGUUUUGGAAAGUUUGCGUUUCAACAAAGUUUGGGUGGCUAAGUAGGCACCGGACGCUAGCACUGGACGCUCUGUGAGUGCGUUCGGUGAGGUCAUUUGCAGUCAAAGUGACUGGGUGCCUAGGAUUAGGCACCGAACGCUAGCACUGGACUCACCAGGUAGCGUCCGGUCGUAAACCUAGGGAGGUCUGAAAGUUGAUCAAGGCACCGGACGCUAGCACCGGAAUCACCGGGCAGUGUCCGGUCCUAAACUUAGGGAGGGUGUAAAGUUCACCCUCACACCAGACGGUGUCACCGGACGCUGGGAAGUAGCGUCCGUUGCUCUGUCAGAGGCAAGUACAGUUAGCUGUUGAGUAUCACCGGACGCUCGGUGUAGAGCGUCCGGUGCAACAUCAACAACGUCUGGUGACCCCGUUUUCAGUGUAAAAUGGUUGGCCGACCCUUGGACUUGAUGGGGUGUAUUUACACUCCUCCACCUCGUCCAUGGGAGGUCUCUUGCUGAUCAGUUGAGAAACACCUUGUGGUGCAAGAGAGAUGCAAGAGCCUAGAGAGGAUUGAGAUUUGAGAGAUUUCUUGUGAGAAUCCUUCUCUUGUUGAAUUCCAAGAGUCAAGUGUGCAUCCACCACUCUCUAGUGCCUUGUUUGGGUCAAGUGAGAGUUCUUUGCUUGUUACUCCUGGUGAUCGCCAUCACCUAGACGGUUCGGUGGUGAUUGGGGGCACGAAGACCGCCCGGAGUUCUUGUGGGUGGCUCGUGUCAAGCUUGUGAGCGCUUUUGGGUGAUUCACCACGACGGAGUGUCGAAGAAUCAGCCCGUAGAGAGGACUUGGUCCUCGCACAGACCAAGGGGGAGCAAGACCCUUGCGCAGGUGCUCCAGCGAGGACUAGUGGGGAGUGGAAAAUCUCCGAUACCUCGGCAAAACAUCACCGAGCACUUUAUUGCCCUCCUCCUUUACUUUCUAGCACUUACUUUGUGCAUUUACUUUGAGUUUUUACAUUCCUAGAUUUGCCUUGCUAGAAUAGGAUUAGAACUAGGUUGCAAAACUUUUAUCCGGUAGCUCUCUAGCCACAUUAGGCACAAGGGGUUGAAUUAGAGCUUAUAGGUUGCUUAAAUGUUUAGAGAAGCCCAAUUCACCCCCCCUUUUGGGCAUCUUGAUCUUUUCAAUUGGUAUCAGAGCCUAGUGCUCAUUAUUUAGGCUUCACCGCCUAGAGAAAGAUGUUUAACGGGGAUGGACCGCCACCCAUGUUCCAUGGUGAUGACUUCCCGUAUUGGAAAAUACGGAUGGAGUCAUACCUUGAGGCAUGUGACACUAAGUGCCUAAAAGCCGCGACCGAAGGGUUUACCCCUCUGGCAAAAGACACCACUCUUACUCCACAAGAGCAAGAAAACAAGAAGUGGAAUGCAAAGGCCAAAAACCACAUCUUUAGAGGUCUUCGCAAAGAGGUGUUUAACCGCGUUCGGAACCACAAAACCGCCCAUGCGUUAUGGAAGGAACUUUGUGCGCUCCAUGAGGGAUCCAAGGGUGAGCGUGAGGAAUGCUUUCAUCUUGUGAUGAACAAGCUUAAUACAUUUGAAAUGCUUCCAAAAUAAAAUGCUAAUGAAAUGUAUUCUCGCUUGAAUGUCAUUGUAGAGGAGCUAAAUGGACUUGGGCUCAAUCAAAUGAGUCUGGCAGAUAUGGCGAGGAAGAUACUAUGUGUUCUUCCCGUUGAGAAAUAUGGGCACAUAGUAACUGUGCUUCAUGAAGGCGAUCUCUCCGCUGCCACACCAAUGUCCAUAUUUGGGAAGAUCAACGCUCAUGAGAUGUACAUGCACAUGAACCCCCAAGAUGGCUCCUCAUCGACCAAGAAGGAUAAGAAGGACUUGGCUCUCAAGGCUUCUCACAAGGGCAAAGCCAAGAAGACUGAAGUUGAGUCAUCAACUUCAAGUGAUGAUGAUGCAUCCAUUGCUCUCUUGGUGAGAAGAACCACCAAGAUGUUGAAGAAGCUCAAAAAGAAUGGAGUCAACUUUGACUCCAAAAAGAAGAAGUUCUUCACAAGUAGCAAGAGAAAGCCCAUCUCCGAGAUGGAUUGCUACAAUUAUGGUGAUCUUGGUCAUCUUGCUCACCAAUGUCCAAAGCCCAAGAAGGACAAAUACAAGAAGAAGAACAAAGAGCAAGAUGAUUCAAGUGAUGAAGACAAGAACGACAAGAAGAAAGGUGGCAAGAAGAAGGAGUACCACAAGAAGAGAAUGGCAAGGCUUACAUUGUUGGUGAUUGGCUCACCGACAUUGAAAGCAAAAGUGGUGACUCCUCCGGCAAAGAAAGUGAUGAUGAAAAGGUUGCCGCCAUUGCCAUUAAUUCUUCAUCACCAUCAUCUUCACCACCAUCUACAUCCUCUACACACCUAUGCCUCAUGGCCAAGGGUGACCGGAAGGUACAAAGUGAGGAUGAGAGUAGUGAGAGUGAUAGUGAAUAUGAAUCACCAUCUUAUGACGAACUUGUAAAAUUGCUAAAUAAAUACACUAUGGUCAUAAGAAAAACUAGAAAUGAAAAUGACAAACUUGAACUUGAAAAUGAAUCACUUCUAGCAAAGCUUAAAUCUAGUGAUGAGCUUAAAGAUCAAAAUGAGAUCAUGACCACUAAGCUCAAGGAGGUCAAACUCUAUGUUGACGGUCCUUAAGUACCAAAUAUAAUCAGCAAAUAAACAAAGAAAAGGAUCCAAAUACAACCAACAUCUAAACUUAGGGUUUUAUCUGACAGAAUUCCACGAGUUUUGGUGUUUGUCUAUUUCUGCAGGGGGUUAUGAGGAAAUAUGGAGGAAAGGCCCACACGUCGGGUUUACAUAGAGAUAUUAAUGUGCCGCGCAAUUUUCUACCAUCUAGAAGACUCCAGAAGCCACAAGAACGAACGGGAGGCCGAGCGGGCUCGGGGGCAGGGCACCCGCGCUCCCCCCUUGGGCGCCCGCCCUGCUACAGUGGCCAAUCACGUUCAACCUCACGGAUUAUGCUCCACCGACCUAAAGGAUCAAGAAUAACCAUUCAAUCAAUGUCGGUUUGAUCCGAUGGCCCAGGUUCACUUGAGGGGACUAUAUAAGCAGACCCCCUGGCCCCUGGAGGAUGCACCCCUUGAUCAUUAUUCAUUAUUCAUAGACAGAGCAAAAGCUAGGGUUUAGAGAUGAGAGCUCUCCUCUCCUCUCUAAACUAGAGUAGAUCUAGAUAGUAGCAAGAUGGAGAGCGAAGGAGGAUUAGAGGAGAGGCCGGCCUGUCGGUUCUUCCUCCGGUUGUACUUCAUCAUGAUCAAGCUCUAAUCAAGCUUGCUCAUGGGAUGACUCUGGUAAUCUACUUCUAAUUCAUUAUGCAAUUACUAAUCAUGUAUGUUCUGGUUCACAACUCUUUUGAGUACUUCUAAUCUAUAGGACCAUAUAGGUUAGAGUUGUAGUAUAGGUGUAAGCGUGGUGCUUAGACCUAGAUUACUUGUGGAUAUCCCCUGUCUAGCUGGAUCGUGUGGUAGGCCACGUAGGUGAUAGUUACGUUGGUCCUCUGUAGUCCACCUCUCGUUAGCAGACGGGUAGGGUUUAUCGGCCUAAGGAUAAGCAUCCUUUGUGGUGUACUCUUAUCACGUGGUUCGUCCCAGACAUAGACAUACCCCUUUGAAGUAGAGAAACCAUAGUUAUCCUCUCUAUUCUGCUACCAUCGUCCAUAUACUAGAAUUGCUCUAGUCUCUAUUCCCAUAUUAUCACUCACUGUUAUCAUACCUUUAAUAUUGUUUUUAUUCGAUUCUACCAUCUUUCCAAUUUAUACCUAUUUACUUAUCUUGGUUAAGUUAGAGCGUAGAUCAGUUCUCCCGUUUCCCUGUGGAUACGAUUGUUGGGUAUUCUUAACAUCAUUACCAAAAGUAGACAAUUUCCUAAUUCUAGUAACGGUGCCAAAAAUGCCAAACCUAUCCCUCAUACCACUAAAGCCAAGUUGUCAUCCCCAGCAUGACAUGAGAGACGCGGUAUUGAAAUAUGCAAUUGCUCUUCUAAAUAAAUAAUUAAUGGGAUCUGCAAGCACACAGAUUAAUACCGAUGUAGUAUUUUAACCGAGAAGUAUUCCAGGUAUCGUUAUUUAUAUUUUUACCAGUGGGAAGGGAUUAACAAUCAUCAUUAUUGAUUACAGAAUAGAAUAUGAGAUUGAGUAUCUAUCAUUGCAUGUAUAAUUGAGAACAUUUAUCUAACUCUUUCAUACAGGGGUAAGUGUCACAUAAAGGAUAUAUGAAAUAAUGAAUAGUGACAAAGAUAAUUAAUCUGAUCAUAACUAGCCACAUAAUAAAUAUGAUAAGCACCUCAAUUAGAUACUCUAGAAAGUCAUUAGCAUAGUAUUAGAACGAACUACAAGAAUAUUUAUUAAGUUAUUCUUAACUAUAUAGUCUAGCAUUAUUAUAAUUAGUGCAAGCAUACUUAGCAAUCAUUGUGAGACAAGACUACGCCCAUGCAUAGUGAUAUUAGCAAGGUAAAUGAGAAACAUAGCAAUCACUCCCCUAUAAUAAUGUUGCUCUGCCAGCCCAAUACACGAGAGGGGGACUAUAUAAGAAUCAAUGAAGCUGUCACUAUCACGAACUACCCCACGAUCUGACAUAUUGGGUACAAUCGCAGAUAAAUACGGUAUAAGCACCACGCCUACACAAUAUCUAUCAUUUACCCAUGGAUCCGAUGGAUAAACGCUAUACGAUCCUAAGCAUGUAUAUAGAUCCAAUCUAACUAAGCCAAGUACAUAACUAUGAUAAACUAAGAACAAUAUAAUCUUGAAUAUAAGCAAGUAGAGCAAAGUCAUAAGCAAUAUAUUGAAGUAGAACAAAGUCAUAUUCAUAAUAUUGAAGAACAAAGAUAAUUAGAAGAACAACUAGAAGCACAAUUAGAGAAUUACCAAGAAUCCUCUUGACAGAUCCGGAAACCAAUCGAAGAUUGACUCCUUCUAGUUUUAAUCCUAUGUAGCUAUGCUAAUCUAGAUGUCUAAUUGAUGUGGUGGCUCUAAUCUUGAUCAGAGGCUUCUUCUCCCUUGAAGAAUAAUGAAUUAGGGUUGAGAGGCUCUCUCCUCCAGGGGCCAGGGGGUCUAGUUUUAUAGUCCCUUCAAGUGAAUAUGGGCCGUUGGAUCAAACCGACAUUGAUUGAAUGGUUAUCCUUGAUCCUUUAGGUCGGUGGAGAUCUCCUGAGAAACAGAGUCCUGAUUGGACUCAGAGAGGGGGCGGGCGCCCAGGGCAGGAGGGCGGGCGCCCUGCUUCUGGCCCCGUUCGGUCUCUGCUUUCUUCCCGUGGCUUCUGGAGUCUUCUAGAUGUAAGAUAAUUGCGCGGCACGUUAAUAUCUCUAUGUAAUCCCGACGUGUGGGCCUUUUUUCCGUAUUUCCUGAUAACCCCUGCAGAAAUAGACAAACACCAAAACUCAUGGAAUUCUGUCAGAUAAAACCCUAAGUCUAGAUGUUGAUUUCAUUUGGAUCCUUUUCUUUAUUUUUUUAUAAUUAAAUUUGAUACUUAAGGACCGUCAACAAUGAUAAAACCUUUAACCGGGUAAAAGCUAUAACGGUAUCCGUGCGCUUGCGGAUUAUCUGUGUGCGUAUAAAUACCAUAGUACACUCUAGUGCCAUGCUGGGGAUGACAACCUAGUAUUCAAGUGGUGUUAGCAAGUGUCAACAAGCAUUUUUGGCACCGUUGCUGGGGAAACGGUUGCUGAGUUGACUACGAACUAGCUUAAUCAUUUUCUAAAAAAAAUAAAAAAAAUAUUUUCCUUUUAUCCUUUGCCUCAUUUCUGCUAUUCUUUCUUCUUAUCUAAUCCUUGAUCUCUGGUCUAUCAUGAAUUCAAACAUGUCUAUCUAUGAAUUUCAUAGACCUACGGGCAGACAUCUCGAACCACCAAAAUCUUCAAAGCCUAUCAUAGCAUCUAGUUUUGAGAUAGACCCCAAAAACAUAGAAUUUGUUCAAAAACAACCUUUCUCACGAGAAGGUGAGGAAAACCCAUACACACACCUAAGAGAGUUUUAUCGAGUCUGUGACCUCCUUCGCAUAGAAGGCACGUCCGAUGAGACCCUUAAAUGGAAGCUCUUUCCGUUCUCUUUAACAGGAAAAGCUAGACAUUGGUACAAACUCAAAGUAGGGAGUGUUCAUGGAGAUUGGAAGGAGUUAUAUAGUAGUUUUCUUUCUAAAUAUUUUCCAAUCUCCAAAGUGGUGGAACUUCGGCGUGAGAUUCUUUCUUUUAGACAACUGGAAGAAGAAUCUCUUGGCAAAUCAUGGGAUCGCUUUAUUAACCUUACUCUCACUGGCCCAAAGCUUUCUAUUCCAGAAAAAGUUCUUCUAAUUCACUUUUUUGAGGGCCUUAGUAGGAAAAAUAAGCAAACCCUUCAUGCGGCCUCUGGAGGAUCUUUCCACCACCUAUCUGCUAGUGAAGCUUGGAAUUUGAUUGAUUUAUUAAGUGGAAAGUCUCCUAGCUUUUAUAUCCCUGAGAAAGAGAAAGAACCAGUUCCUAGACAAGAAGAAGAAGUUUCGAUAGCCAGAUCACAACCAUUUCAAUCCCAAACUUUAGCUAUCGAUUCUAAACCAUCAAUACCCCAAAAUUCUUCAAGGGAGGAAGGAAUUCCGACCUUAAAUCUUUCAGAUACUGAUGGUUUAGACUUCUCGUUCCAUAAGAGACUUUCAAGAAGGGAUAAUUCAAAUCUUUGCAAUAAUGGUUCUCUUAGAGAACGUCCUGGUUCCUUUUAUGAAGAAGUCGAGGAUGACAUAUCAAGUGAAGGAGACCUAAGCCAUAUAGAAAAUUCUAUCAGCUCCCCUUUCCUGAUCACAAGUUCUAAAUGGCUAGAAUGUGUAGAAUGGAUGGAUAAGGAAGAAGCCUUAAUGAAUUCUGACUUUGGCUCAAUUUCAAAUGGUGAGUUCUUGACUCCCUUUGAAAAUGGGAUUCAUCCAACUAUAGAAGAUGACAUAAGUGAGACCAAUCCAGGAGAAGCUCCGGACAUUCAGAUUGGAGACGAAGAUAACAUCAAUGAGCAUAGAAUUUAUUUCAUAGCCACUUUGUUUACUCCAUGCUCAUAUAUAACAUCUUCCCAAUCUAUUGGUCUCUCUAACAUCACCACAUUUGAGAUGUCCAACCCCCUCUUCCUUUCUAUUUAUAAAAACUUUAAAAGGGCGAUUGUCGAUGCAUAUGUCUAUAAUAAAUAUUGUAGAUCUCGUUGAGUUGAUCUUGAUAUAGGUCAGCGUUGGAAGGGAAACCACUUCGCCGACAUAAGUUGAUGGUUUCCUAAGGACAAGCUUAGUGUCCUAAAAUAAGCACUGAUCAGAUCAUAACAUGAGCUUUUAAUUAUUUACAACAUUACCUUGUGUAUUGAGCAUAUAAGGAUAAUUAUAAAAUAUUCCUUCGAGUAUUCUUGUCACUAACCUUUCCAGGAUUAGAGCAAGAAGAUCGGAUGAAUGACAAGCACAAGGUAUGUCCAACCGAUCAUCAUACAACAUUGAAUUAAAUUCAUCCAAACUUGAAUUUUGCAAAAUUCAAGCUUGGGGGAGUACUUUACAUAAAAACAUCCUUUGCCAUGUUGUUAUGUUGGUUGUCCCUACCUUUGAGACAUGCUCAAUUUGUUAAAUACUAAUCACACUACUUCAUCUCCACUUUGAGUAGAUCUCUAUAAAUGCCAUCACGCUACCUUUGUUUAUCCUAGUAAGUGUUAGUUUGGAAGUACUGCACAUACUUCUAUUGGCUUUUAAAUUAAGCAUGGUGCUUAGGUUAGACAACCUUCAUUAAUCUGAUUAGACAUGGAGUCUAGUUUGGUUAUUGAACUAAAAACUACUUGAGUAAAUAUUGGUAUAUUUUGUCAGACUAACCACUGCAGGAAAACAUUCAAUAUCAAUUUGGGAAGUCCUGAGAUAAACUCACAUUGAAGACAAAGAGAGAGACACAUGAAGUUUAACAAUUUACACAAGGAGGACAUAGCUCAUUCAUUAUAGAGAGAUGAUCCAUGGAAGGAGACAAAGUACAUAACCAAGAUGAACAACCGCUAAGAAGGGAAAUCUUCCACAAGGUGAUACUGUACCAUCACUCUUCAAGUAAGGUAACAUCUUAAGGUACUUGACUAUCACUUUUAUAAGUUUCUCCUUGGUUCUGGCGUUCAUAUGAAUAAAAGAGACAAACAUGUAUGAUUUAUAACUUCAAAUUAACCAACCCAACUGAUUCAACAUGUUUAGUCCUUUAAUGUUUGUUCCUAGUACUACCUCCAUGAUCCCACACUCCUAAUCAUAUGAGGUAAAAUGUUACACAUUCAAUAUUUGAGACAUAUAAAGAAAAAGACAUAUAUAUAGAUAGAUUAUCUUUCCAUUAGGUUAAGCGAUCUAAUCCGGCAAAUGUUUUAAAUGCUACACUCAUGAACUUAUCAUUCAUCAACUUUGUCUUGCUCACCAUGCUUAAGGAAGAACAAAUACACUUUUGGUUCUGUUGGUGUUUUCCACCAACAGGGCCCAUGCACUUGAUCUCUGCCUUGUCUCUAUGAGUAGGUACACUACGAGCACAAACACACUAAGCAAGAUACUGCCAACGCCGCACUUAGAACUGCUGGGCAAACAAAGAACAUGGGUGACACAGUAUCAAGAGGUGCAGACGUCAAGGUACGCACCUGAGUCAAAUGACGCACCUAAAGAAUGAACACGGUGAGAAGUCUUGUUCAGAAGACUUAAAACAUUGAAUCCUCGCCGAAAGGUAAAAUCAGUAGUUAUCCAUAUUUAUCCUUUCUGCAUUCCCUUUUCCCUUAAAUUAUUUACUUUCCUUAAAUGGCUUGUUGGUUAUUCAUGCUAUCUUGAAAAGAAAAUAAAAAUGUUAAAAAUAGUAAGCCCCAUGUGAGUAUGCUCGUGGCAUAAAACCCAUAAGUACAUUCACUGUUGUGGCGUAAAAAUAAAAUAAAUAUAUUCCUGUCCUACGAAGAUGAAAAUAUAAAAAUAAAUUUAUGAUCCUGCCAAAGAGAGUAAUAUUUAUUAGAGGAAGCUCAACAUGAUAAAGGCAAAGAGAUUUUUAUGCUAACACUUAACUAGUUCCACAAAUCUUCGUUGUCUAUUUGAGCUCCACAGAAUUCAAGGAUCAAAGAAGACUAGCAGACGGAGGACAUCCUAAUCGCUGUCAGGGUACUGCCGACAUUCAAAUAUACCUCCGCCACCUGCUAGCUACAUCAGAAGAAAUUACAUCAAAAUCCAGCUUGGGGGAGAGGACCCCCAUUUAUCCAGCUAAGUGUUUCUACUCGCGUUUAUACUUUACUCAAAUAAUAAAAAGAUGCAUAAUCAUAACCCAAAUAAAGAUUUUGUGCUUAUAUAUAUAUAUAUGUAUAUAUCUUUUCUUAGUUUGCUAAAUAAAUAAAUAAAUAAAGUUUGCUAUGAACCCUCAUGAUAAGCUCACAUGGAAAUAAUGAAUAGUUGCUCUGCCAUGACUAGUUCUCAAAAUUGAAAUCUCUCUCAAGUUUAGGCAUUACUGUUAUGAAUUAAGAUUUGCUCUAAACCUGAACUUGUGGGAAGAGUACUUGAUCUAAAGUCUAAGUCGUUAACAGAUACGAUAUGGGAAGGUUGAGCUGUUGUUUAUCUGUUCCUAGAGAUGCUAGAAUUCUAGAGAAUUUUAUCUUUGAAAAUCUUUAAAAUAUUGCAUGAUGAGUUCCUGUAUGAUGAGAGUUUAAAAUCCUACCAUAGCCAUAUAUACAUGCUUAUUAGACUAUGAACCAUACAUUUACUUUUCACAGCUUAUGAGCAUUGAGUGUGGUCAAGCUAUGUAGACCCUUAGGAGCUUGUCAUGCGGUUAUAAUCAAGAUUCACUUGCACGUCCACUCAUACAUGCUGCUUCUACUCCGGAAGUAUGCAUCCACAUACAUCCACUCAUUUCCAUCUCCAGAUUCAUCCAAAAUUAUUCUACUCCUAUCCGGGAGAGAAUAGCCAAAAACAUUAUCCCAUUCCUAUUUUUCCCUGUGAAAUAAAUGCUCAAGCUAUUUUCGUUACUACCACUUGCUACAUUAUUCCAGGAGGGUGAGUGCUCUGAAAAAAAAGAAGAAAAAUACGAGGAAAUAAAAAGGGGCAAGUGCCCGGAACCUCGAAAGAAAAAAGAAAACGUGAGACGAGAGGUAAAAAUGGACAAGUGUCCGACAGUAGAAUUAGGGGUACAAGAUACCCACCUAAAAGAAAAGAAAAAAAAGAAAAGAAAAUAUAGAGUAUCUCAUUCCCCUUAAAAAGCUUCAAAGUGCAAGAAAGGUAUGUAUCCCCUCAAAAGAGCAAAAGCAGAAUUAAAAUUUCACCAUUGUUUUCACCAUUAUCACCAUUCAUUCGCCACACAUGCACAUCUUGAUUUGACUUAUUGACUUGUUUCUCUGGAUCCAUGGUUUGACUAUGCAAUAAAUGUCUUGUAAGUAUGUAUUAGCUGUCUCCCACCUAUGAGCUCCAGAUAUCAAACCUUAUUAGAGUAGGGUGAGAGAGAAGGCAAUAUCACUAUGCCUCAUUCCACAAAUACUACAUACUUUGAGAGAAGGCGUAUACCAUCACUGCCUUGGUGAGGAUCCAGAAAUACCACAAAAGAGAGACUAGAGAGAGUCAUACAAGGAAUCUCUGAGUUUUAUUUGAAAAUCUGCAAAAACUCCAGAGCUAUAGUUGAUCAAAGAACAAGAGACAUGGUGCUUGACUUGACCGUUCUAUCUUUUAACUGCUCAAGACACAAGUGACGGUUGCAAGCCCAUGGUGGAAGGUAAUAUGAGUAAGUUUAAACCUUAACAGUUUACCCUAACCUAGAGAUGAGAUCUUGUUUAAAUGCAUGUGUACCUUUAAGGCAUAAAACCACUGCAGAAACUCUUGAGUCCAUCCUUGCUCAGGGACGAGCAAUGGGUAAGCUUGGGAGAGUUGUUGACGGUCCUUAAGUACCAAAUAUAAUCAGCAAAUAAACAAAGAAAAGGAUCCAAAUACAACCAACAUCUAAACUUAGGGUUUUAUCUGACAGAAUUCUACGAGUUUUGGUGUUUGUCUAUUUCUGCAGGGGGUCAUCAGGAUAUAUGGAGGAAAGGCCCACACGUCGGGUUUACAUAGAGAUAUUAACGUGCCGCACAAUUUUCUACCAUCUAGAAGACUCCAGAAGCCACGGGAACGAACGGGAGGCCGAGCGGGCUCGGGGGCAGGGCGCCCGCCCUCCGCCCUUGGGCGCUCGCCCUGCUACAGUGGCGAAUCACGUUCAACCUUGCGGAUUAUGCUCCACCGACCUAAAGGAUCAAGAAUAAUAGUUCAAUCAAUGUUGGUUUGAUCCGACGGCCCAGGUUCACUUGAGGGGACUAUAUAAGCAGACCCCCUGGCCCCUGGAGGAGGCACCCCCUGAUCAUUAUUCAUUAUUCAUAGACAGAGCAAAAGCUAGGGUUUAGAGAUGAGAGCUCUCCUCUCUUCUCUAAAUUAGAGUAGAUCUAGAUAGUAGCGAGAUGGCGAGCGAAGGAGGAUUAGAGGAGAGGCCGGCCUAUCGGUUCUUCCUCCGGUUGUACUUCGUCAUGAUCAAGCUCUAAUCAAGCUUGCUCAUGGGAUGACUCUGGUAAUCUACUUCUAAUUCAUUAUGCAAAUACUUCUAAUCAUGUAUAGGACCCUAUAGGUUAGAGUUGUAGUAUAGGUGUAAGUGUGGUGCUUAGACCUAGAUUACUUGUGGAUAUCCCCUGUCUAGCUAGAUCGUGUGGUAGGCCGCGUAGGUGACAGUUACGUUGGUCCUCUGUAGUCCACCUCUCGUUAGCAGGACAGGUAGGGUUUAUCGGCCUAAGGAUAAGCAUCCUUUAUGGUGUACUCUUAUCACGUGGUUCGUCCUAGACAUAGACAUACCACUUUGAAGUAGAGAAACCAUAGUUAUCCUCUCUAUUCUGCUGCCAUCGCCCAUAUACUAGAAUUGCUCUACUCUCUAUUCCCAUAUUAUCACUCACUGUUAUCUUACCUUUAAUAUUGCUCUUAUUCGAUUCUACUAUCUUUCCUAUUUACACCUAUUUACUUAUCUUGGUUAAGUUAGAGCGUAGAUCAGUUCUCCCGUUUCCCUGUGGAUACGAUAAAACCUUUAAACGGGUAAAAGCUUUAACGGUAUCCGUGCCCUUGCGGAUUAUCUGUGUGCAUAUAAAUACCAUAGUACACUCUAGUGCCAUGCUGGGGAUGACAACCUAGUAUUGAAGUGGUGUUAGCAAGUGUCAACACUCUCCUUAAAAGAGCUCAAAGAAAAACAUGAUAAACUUGAGAGUGUGCAUGAUGAGCUUAUCACUAGAUAUAGAGCUUCGAAGGAACAGCUUGCAACUCUAAAAGCAAACUAUGACAACCUUGAGAUAGCUUAUUGUUGACGAUCCUUAAGUACUAAAUUUAACCGUCAACUAAACAUGGAAAAGGAUCAAUAUGUACCAAACAUCUAGAAUUAGGGUUUUAUCUGACAGAAUUCCACGAGCUUUGGUGUGUGUCUAUUUCUACAGGGGGUUUUCAGAAAAUAUGGAGAGAAGGCCCACAUGUCAGGUUUACAACGAGAUAACUACGUGUCGUGCAAAUUUCUUUAAUCUAGAAGAGUCCAGAAGCCACAGGAAUGAACGGGAGGCCGAUCGGGCCCGGGUGCAGGGCGCCCUCCCUCCCCCUUGGGCGCCUGCCCUGCCCUGGUGGCCAAUCAGAGCAGGUCUCGCGGAUCGUGCUCCACCGCCUCUAAUCUUCAAGAAUAACCGUGCGAUCAAUGUCGGUUUGAUCCGAUGGCCCAAAUUCAUCUGAGGGGGCUAUAUAAGCAAGGCCUCUCCACCCCAGGGGAGUAGGAGAAAUCAAUAUCAGAGGAAGCCAUCAAAGUUAGGGUUUAGGAACUUCUCUCCCACAGAGAAUUAGAAUUACCUACUCCCAAUUCCUUCAAGUUCUAUAGGAUUGAUUAGAUAGAAUUAGAGAAGUAGAGCCUAGCGCUCUGGAUUAUGGAUCUUCAUCAAUAAAGAUUGGUAUUAUUUUAUCUUUCUCUACUACUUUAUUCUAAUUACAUUAUGUCUCUAUUUAUUAUGUUCUUAGUUUACUCUAGUCCUAUAUUUGAUAUAGUUAUGAUUGAUAAUGAGUUUAUGUAUAAGUUUGCAAAACGCUUAGCUCUUGACGCGCGGGAGUUAAGUGGUAGAUCACAUGUGGGCGUGGUGCUUAGAUGUUAUUUACCUGCAAAUGUAUCCUAUUGGCUGGGUCAUGUGGUAGUUCGCGAUAGUGACAGCUUCGUUGAUUCUUAUAUAGUCCACCCACCGUUGAUAGGACAGGCAGAAUUUGUAUUGCGGAGUAAGUCUUGCGAUGUUCUGAUUUACUUUAGCAAUGUUCCUUAUACAUGAAUGAAGAGUCUUUUAUGCUAUAUAUGAUCUUGAGAUAAAUAGAGUAGAUUAUGACUUAGUAGGUAGUAGAUUACUUAGAAUCCAUUCUCUAGCUAAUCCGACGUCACCUUACAUAUAUGAGGAGUAGUCUAUUUUCUCAUCGCUGUGUUAUUUACCCAUGAGCUUAUAUUUCAUUGUCAUUAUUAUUAUGGCUUACCCCUUGCCAAAGCAAGUGACUGUGUGACGAGUUUAUCAUUAGUAAUCAUGUUCUUACAAGAUUAUCUCUAGUCUAUGCCUUGAUAGAUUUUACCCCUGUUUUCACUUUCACCCUUCUCUUACGCAAAAUUAUAAAUAACAAUACCCGGAAUACUUUCCUAGUGAAAUGCUACAAUGAGGUUUUUUAUCUAUGCGCUUGCGGAUAGAAUAGAUUAUUUUCUAGAGAGCCUUUACAUUCAUAAAUACCUUUGUACACUCUGGCACCAUGCUGGGGAUGACAACCUAGUAUCCAAGUGGUGUUAGUAAGUAUCAACAAGCAUUUCUGGCGCCGUUGCCGGGGAGACGGUAAGAAAAGUCACGAAGUCAGUCAAGGUUAUUCACAUAAAAUAUUAGACUAGACUAUGGAGAAAUAAUUGCAUAAAACAGCUACUAAGUGAGAAAUCAUAACAAGGCACCUCUGCUUUGGCAGGUUCACCCUGUUGUUUUUUUCUAUGUUUAUAUUUUUAUACAGGGUAUAUCAGGAUUGACUUUGGUACAUUCAACUCUUCAUCAUCAGAACCAAAGCAAUCAAGAAAGAAAGAAGAAGCUACCUAACAAUUGCUGAAGAUAUGGCACAAAAGACCUUGCAAGAAUUCUGUGCUCCAAGUCUUAAGAACAUUCCAAGUGGUCCAAGAUUUGCACUAGAAGAAGGAGCACCCGAGUUCGAGCUCAAGUCAAGCCUCAUCAAUUUGUUACAAGCUACACAAUUCAGUGGAAAGGCACAUGAAGAUGCUAGUGCACACUUGCAGAAUUUCUUAGAGAUUGGAAGCACAAUCCGUAUCAAUGGAGUCGACAAAGACGUCAUACUGCUUCGCCUCUUUCCAUUCUCACUAGAAGGGAAAGCAAGGAAGUGGUUCUACACCCAUCAAGAUAACAUCAACAACUGGAUGAACUUGUUAGAUGCCUUUCUAUCAAAGUUUUUCAUUAUAGGAAAAACAGCUGCCUUAAGAGUAAAUAUUGUCAGUUUCCAACAACAGAAGACAAAAACCAUUCCUGAAGCAUGGGAGCGCUUUCAAGGAUAGAUAUCAGAUUGUCUGCACCAUGGAAUGGCUAAAUGGUUACUUAUGCAGACCUUCUACCAUGGAUUAACCCAGAAGGCUCGUGAAUGCCUAGAUGCAUCUGCUAAGGGAUCAUUUUUGGAGCUUACAAUUGGAAAAGCAGAGAUACUUUUGGACAAUAUAGCAGAAAACCAAAGCUGGUUCCAAGAUAAAGCUCUGCUUUGUCAUCAAACUGAAGAAAUACCAGAAGAAGUAAAUGCACUAUCAACCAAGAUGGAAAAUUUGCUUCAUUGGAUUCACCAGAGGGCCAAGUUCAAAGAAGAUCAAAGGGCCAGUGAGACAGUAUACAAAUAUCAAGCUACUUUGAGUCAACCAGUAGCAAAGGUAUGAAUUCAGGUAACACUUUCAAGCAACUUUCAUUAAAAGAGAUAAUUUCUCAAUAAACCAAAACUAAUGAUGAAGUUAAACAAAGGCUAGAUACCAAUGAAUCAACACCAAAAAAUAUACACAAUAAAAUGGAUUUUCUAUUAACUGCCUUUGAUGAGCAAAACACUCUUAAUAAAAGGGUAGAGCUUAAAUUAAUAAAGCUAGCUGCUGCAUUGCCUGUUGCCACUAACAUUGAGCAGGUAAAGAACAUAACUACUAGGGGAGGCAAAGCCACUAGGGAUCCCCCAUACCCAAAAGAGAAACAGAGAACAUCAGCACCAGUGCAACCAGCAGGGAUUGAAGAAGAAAACCCAAUUGAAGCAGAAGAUCUGCUACAACCACCAAGUACUGGAGAAAUGAGGAAAGAUUUUUACGACACCAACUAUUUGCCAUUUCCAAAAGAAACAGAGGAUUACGGUCGGAUGAGUAGUUUGGUAAGUUUGUAGAGGUCAUUCAGAAAUUUUAUGUCAACAUACCUCUACUUGAUGCCAUACAGGUACCCACAUAUGCAAAGUACAUGUUGGCUAUUCUUAACGUCAUUACCAAAAGUAGACUUAGUUUUCUAAUUCUGAUAACGGCGCCAAAAAUGCCAAACCUAUCUAUCAUACCACUUAAGCCAAGUUGUCAUCCCCACCAUGACAUAAGAGACGCGGUAUUGAAAUAUGCAAUUGCUCAUCUAAAUAAAUAACAAAUGGGAUCUGCAAGCGCACAGAUUAAUACCGAUGUAGCAUUUUAACCGUGAAGUAUUCCAGGUAUCGUUAUUUAUAUUUUUACCACUGGGAAGGGAUUAGCAAUCAUCAAUGUUGAUUAUAGAAUGGAAUAUAAGAUUGAGUAUCUAUCAUUGCAUGUAUAAUUGAGAACAUUUAUCUAACUCUUUCAUACAGGGAUAAGUGCCACAUAAAGGAUAUAAAGUAAUGAAUAGUGAGAAAGAUAAUUAAUCUGAUCAGCAUAACUUAGCCACAUAUAAAUAUGAUAAGCACCUCAAUUAGAUAUUCUAGCAAGUCAUUAGCAUGGAAUUAGGAUGAAAUAUAAGAAUAUUUCCUAAGUUAUUCUUAACUAUACAAUCUAGCAUAUCAUAGUUAGUGUAAUUAUACUUAGCAAUCAUUGUGAGACACGACUACGCCCAUGCAUAGUGAUAUUAGCAAGGAAUAUGAGAAACAUCACAAUCACUCCCCUGUAAUAAUGUUGCUCUGCCAGCCCAAUACACGAGAGGGGGACUAUAUAAGAAUCAAUGGAGUUGUCACUACCACGAACUACCCCGCUAUGUGGCAUAUAGGGUACAAUUGUAGAUAAAUACGGUAUAAGCACCACGCCUACACAAUAUCUAUGAUUUACCCAUGGAUCCAAUGGAUAAACGCUAUACGAUCCUAAGCAUGUAUAUAGAUCCAAUCUAACUAAGACAAGUAUAUAACUAUGAUAAACUAAGAACAAUAUAAUUGCGAAUAUAAAAAAGUAGAGUAAAGUCAUAACGAAUAUAUUGAAGUAGAACAAAGUCAUAUUCAUAAUAUCGAAGAACAAAGAUGAACAAUUGAAGAACAAUAGAGAAUUACCAAGAAUCCUCUUGAGAGAUCCGGAAACCAAUCGAAGAUUGACUCCUUCUAGUUCUAAUCCUAUGUAGCUAUGCUAAUUUAGAUAUCUAAUUGAUGUGGUUGCUCUAGGGCUUGAUCAGAGGCUUCUUCUCCCUUGAUGAAUAAUGAAUUAGGGUUGGAGGUCCCCUCCUCCAGGGGCGAGGGGGUAUGGUUUUAUAGUCCUUCCAAGUUAAUAUGGGCCGUCGGAUCAAACCGACAUUGAUUGAACGGUUAUCCUUGAUCCUUUUGGAGCGUAAUCCCAAAAGAGAGUCCUGAUUGGACUCCAGAGGGGGGCGGGCGCCCUGGGAUAGGCCCGGUUCUGCCUCCGCUUCGUUCCCGUGGCUUCUGGAGUCUUCUAGAUGUAAGAUAAUUGCGCGGUACGUUAAUAUCUCUAUGUAAUCCCGACGUGUGGGCCUUUCUUCCGUAUUUCCUGAUAACCCCUUGCAGAAAUAGACAAACACUAAAACUCGUGGAAUUCUGUCAGAUAAAACCCUAAGUUUGGAUGUUGAUUUUAUUUGGAUCCUUUUCUUUGUUUAUUUGAUAAUUAAAUUUGAUACUUAAGGACCGUCAACAAACUCCCCCAAGCUUACCUCUUGCUCGUCCCUAAGCAAGGAUAAUCUCAGUGAUGGAUCAGAAGUUGUUAUAAUGCCUUUAAAAAUUGACGGUACACAUGCUUUUAAAUAAGAUCUCAUCUCUGAGUUAGAGUAAACUAUCAUGACUUAAAACUUAUUCAUUUUACCUUUCACCAUGGGACUUGUAACCGUCACUUCUGUCUUGAGUAGUUAAAAGAUAGAACAGUCUAGUCAAGUGCCAUGUCUCUUAUUCAUGAUUAGCUAUAGCUCUAAAGUUUUUUGCAGAUUUUCAAAUAAAACUCAGAGAUUCCUUAUAUGACUAUCUCAGAUCUCUCUUUUGUGGUAUUUGUGGAUCCUUACCAAGGCAGUGAUGGUAUAUGCCUUCUCUCAAAAUAUAUAGUAUUUGUGGUAUAAGGCAUAGUGAUAUUGCCUUCUCUCUCAUCCUAUUCUAAUAAGUCUUUAAUAUCUGGAGCUCAUAGGUGGGAGAUAAAGUAUACAUACUCACAAGACAUUUAUUGUAUAGUCAAACCAUGGAUCCAAAGAAACAAAUCAAUAAGUCAAAUCAAGAUGUGCUUGUGUGGCGAAUGAAUGGUGUAUGGUGAUGAUGGUGAUAACAAUGGUGAAAGUCUAAUUCUACUUUUGCUCUUUGAGGGGAUACAUACCUUCCUUGCUCUUUGAAACUUUCUGAGGAGAAUGAGAUGCUCUCUCUUUUCUUUUUCUUUCCUCUCAGGUGGGUAUCUUGUACCCCUAAUUCUACUAUCGGACACUUGUCCAUUUUUACCUCUCGUCUCACUUUUUUCUUUUCUUUCGAGGUUCUGGGCACUUGCCCCUUUUUAUCUCCUCGUAUCUUCUUUUUUUAGAGCACUCAUCUCCUGAAAUAAUAUAGCAAGUGGUAGUAACAAGAUAACUUGAGCAUUUAUUUCACAGGGGAAAGCAUAAAUGUUUUUGGCUAUUCUCUCCCGGAUUAGGAGUAGAAUAUUUUUGGGUGGUUAUGGAGAUGGAAAUGGGUGGAUAUAUGUGGAUGCGUACUUCCGGAGUAGAAGCAGCAUGUGUGAGUGAACGUGCAAGUGAGUCUUGAUUUAACCACAUGACAAGCUCCUAAGGGUCUACACAGCUUGACCACACUCAAUGCUUAUAAGCAGUAAAGUAAAUGUGUAGCUCAAAGUCUAGCAAGCAUGUAUAUAUGGCUGUGGUAGGAAUUUAAACUCUCAUCAUACAAGAACUCAUCAUGCAACAUUUGAAAGGUUUUCAAAGAUAAAAUUCUCCAGAAUUCUAGCAUCUCUAGGAACAGAUAAACAGCAGCUCAACCUUCCCAUAUCAUAUCCGUUAACAACCUAGACUUCAGAUCAAGUUUUCUUCCCACAAGUUUAGGUUUAGAGCAAGCUUUCAAUUAUAACAGUUAUGUCUAAACUUAAGAGAGAACUUCAAAAAUUUAAAAAAAAUUAGGCAGAGCAACUAUUAUAUCCAUUCUAGAGUUUUAUUAUUAAGAUUCAGUUUAGCAUAGCUACUUUAUUUAUUUAUUAAGCACACUAAGCAAAAGAUAUAUAUAUAUAUAUAUAUAUAUAUAUAUAUAUAUAUAUAUAUAAGCACAAAAUUUUUAUUUAUUUUUUCAUAGUUAUGCAUAUUUAUAUUUUAAUAUAGUAUAUGUAUAAAGAUAGAUAGAAAUACUUAGCGGGAUAAAUGGGGGUCCUCUCCUCCAAGCAAAAUUUUGACGUAAUUUCUUUUGAUGUAGCUAGCAGGUGGCAGAGGUGUAUUUGAAAGUCGGCAGCACCCUAACAGCGUUUAGAAUGUCCUCCGUUUGCUAGUCUUCUUGAUUCUUAAAUUCUGUGGAGCUCAAAUAGACAACAAAGCUUUGUGGAACUGAUUAGGUGUUAGCACGAAUAUUUAGCCUUUAUCAUGUUGAGACUCCUUAAUAAAUAUUACUCCCUAUUUUUAUAUUUUCAUUUUAUAGAGCAAAAAAAAAUAUUUAUUUUAUUUUUAUGCCACCACAGUGAAUGUACUUAUGGGUUUCAUGCCACUCGUAUACUCACAUAGGGCUUAUUGUUUUUUAACAUUUUUAUUUUCUUUUAGGAUAGUAUGAACAUGAUUAACUAAGCAAAUUGUUUAAAAUAAUUAAAAGGAAAGUAUAACUACCAAGUUUACCUCUUGGCAAGACGUUUGGUGUUUUUAACUCCUCCGAACGGUACUCUCUGUUUUCUAGUUGUCCUCAAGUUCAUUGGGUGGCGUAGUCGGUGCUUCCGGCGGCGCCUCUUCUUCGUGUAUAGUUAUCUUCUCUCUCCACACCUGACUCGGUGCUACGGUCUCCUCUAGAUAAUUCUGUUUAAGCUGUAUGUCUUCUGAUCUUAUCACUUCUCCUUCGUAGUCUGCCCAUCCGUCCUUGAUGAUUUGCCUCCUCUGGUUGCGGUUGCGUUGUUUUCUUCUUGUCCUGGCCUGCUUAGAGUCUUCAACUAUAUAGUUAGGGUCAGUAAAAUAGCGGUGUACCUUCUCUGAGGGGAAGUGCAUAUGGACUUCUCUAGUUCCAAUGUAGAUGAUUGCUUUAACGGUGUUGAGGAACGGUCUUCCAAGGAUGAUGGGUGGAUCAUAUUCAUCUUCUCCCAUGUCAAUAACCUGAAAGUCUGUGUAGACAAAAUGAUCGUCUAUUUUGACAGGGACAUCAGUUACUAUACCUUUAACCUCUCGAAAUGUCUAAUCUGCCAUCUGGAGCUGAAUGUAUGUUGGUUUUAGGGGCAUGGUUCCGAACAAGAGCCGAUAGGUGACUGCGGCCAUUAUGUUGACGCCCGAUCCGGUGUCGCAAGUCGUCUUGUAGAAGUUGUAUCCAUUUAUGGAGCAAUAGAUGCUUGGCAUUCCUGGGUCGUCCUUCUUGGGGUAGAAACAGUGACUUAAGUCGAUGAUCUUGUCCUUCAUGAACUGCAGUGACCAUCUUAGCUGACUCGGUCCACACUUGCUUGUUCCUAUUCCUCCUGUUGGUCCUUUUCGUUGAUUCAUGUCGGGAUUGCUCCGGGAUUUGUGUAGUCUUGUUCUUGAAGGAAAACGUCUCCUUCCUCCCUUUGAUGUAGAAACUGAUCUUGGCAGCACUAGCGUAGAUGACAGCUUCCGAGGUGUUUAAGAAUGGCCUCCCUAAGAUGAUGGGUGCCCUCUCAUCAUUACCGGUCUCUAUCACCAAGAAGUCUGCUGGGGCGUACAAGGUACCGACUCAGACACAGAGGUUCUUCAAUAUUCCUUUUGGAAAACUUAUCGUCUGAUCUGCAAACUGCAAACAUAUGGUUGUUUCUAAUAAAUGAUAUGUAAACUUUUUUUCAUAGAGUACCCUGGGCAUAAUGUUGAUGUUGGAGCCAAAGUCGCAGAGUGCUUCUGGGAAGUCCACCAUGCCGAUGGAGAUCGGGAUGACGGGGCGUCCUGGAUCACCUCUCUUGACCGGUAGAAGGUCAGUAGUAACUUCAGUGAUGGAGUUACUCUAGUAAUUACCUGCAUCAAACAUGUCUACAAGAUUGGCAGAUUCUAAUCCUUCCGGUUGUGAUGGUAUACCGGGGUUAGUAGCAGGAACAGCAGCAGCUAUCUGAUUUAACUGAGAUUCAAUCAUCUUAUUAAAGCUAAUUUGAUUCUUGAUGGCAGCAGAGAAAUUAUCCAUUCUAUUAUUUAUAUUUUCUAGCAUUUUAUCAUUGGAUGCCAAUUUAUUAGAUAGGUUAUCCAUUAGCUUUCCUUGAUUAGACACUAACUCUCUCACAGGUGGAAAAUUAUUAUUAUUGUAAGAAUUGUCACCUUGAUAAUUACCUGAGUAGUUAGGCCUCUGUUGAUUCCAACCUUGAUUUUGUUGAGGACGGUUGUAAUAGUAGUUGUUGUUAUUGUUGAUGCAGUUCACAUCCUCAAGCAUCUUAGGGCAGUGAUUGCCUGAGUGUCCAGUAUCUCCACACUCCUCACAAGUCAUGUGAGAGUCGUAGAUGUGCAUAACUUCUUUCUUGUCUCUAGCUCUAUCAUCGACCUUCUUCAUGAGCAGGUCUAGCUUGGCACACAGCAUGCCUACCUCCUUGAGCUGAUGCAUACCUCCACCUUUCUUGCGUGUCUGGGUCCUCUCUUCAUUCCAGCCUUGCUUGGACGCCAUCUUCUCUACAAGAGCUGUGGCUUGUGAUAUGGUAAGUGAUAGGAAUGCUCCUCCAGCUGCAGCAUCCAUGGUCUCUCGGGCACUAUUGCCGAGCCCAUGAUAAAACGUCUGCAUCAGUAGCCAACUCUCCAUUCCAUGAUGGGGACAUUCUAGGAUGUAGUCUUAGAAGCGCUCCCAUGCUUCUAGAACGGAUUCAUCAUGUUGUUGCUGAAAACUUGUAAUCUUCCCACGGAGAGCAUUGGUCUUGCCCAUGGGAAAGAACUUAGCCAGAAAGUUCGUGGAGCACGUAGUAUUCUUCUCCUUUGUAGCGUAGAACCACUGCUUCUCUCUUCCUAACCGUGAGAAUGGGAAGAGGCGAAGUAGUAUAGCAUCUCUGGGGACUCCUGAUAUGGUGAAUGUGCUGCAAAUCUCCAGAAAGCGUUGGAGAUGAGCACUAGCAUCUUCGUGUGCCUUCCCACAUAACUGAUUGGAUUGUAUCAUGUUGAUAAGUCCAGGCUUGAGUUCAAAGUUGCCAUCGAUUUGUUCUCCAUGGCUUCGAACUCUAAAGACAAGUUCUGGUGAUCUUCUUGAUUGGAUGAAGCUUCUUGCUGAAGUGUUGAUGAUCUCUUCUUGAGCUUGGCUCUUGUUUUUCUGAAUAAUGCUUCGGGAUUGUGAAAAAAAUUUCCUAAAAGAUGUCUUCUAUUCAUACAUUACCCUGCAUAAGAUAAAAUAGAGAAAUAUCGGGGUAAAACUGUAUGAGAGAAUUGAUAAGCUCAAUCAUAUUAGUGAUGCGAAUGAUAACUCAAAAUUCUAUAUUCAUUCCUGAUUAGUAAUUAACCUUCCCCGGCAACGUUGCCAAAAAUGCUUGUUGGGUAUUCUUAACGUCAUUACCAAAAGUAGACUUAGUUUUCUAAUUUUGAUAACUGUUGGAUAUUCUUAACAUCAUUACCAAAAGUAGACUAAGUUCUCUAAAUCUAGUAACGGUGCCAAAAAUGCCAAACCUAUCCCUCACACCACUUAAGCCAAGUUGUCAUCUCCAGCAUGAUAUAAGAGACGUGGUAUUGAAAUAUGCAAUUUCUCUUCUAAAUAAAUAAUGAAUGGGAUCUGCAAGCGCACAGAUUAAUACCGAUGCAGCAUUUUAACCGGGAAGUAUUCCAGGUAUCGUUAUUUAUAUUUUUACCACUGGGAAGGGAUUAACAAUCAUCAAUAGUGAUUACAGAAUAGAAUAUGAGAUUGAGCAUCUAUCAUUGCAUGUAUAAUUGAGAACAUUAUAUCUAACUUUUCAUACAGGGAUAAGUGUCACAUAAAGGAUAUAUGAAAUAAUAAUAGUGACAAGGAUAACUAAUUUGAUCUAGCCACAUAAUAAAUAUGAUAAGCACCUCAAUUAGAUACUCUAGAAAGUCAUUAGCAUGGUAUUAGAACGAACUACAAGAAUAUUCCCGAAGUUAUUCUCAACUAUAUAGUCUAGCAUAUCAUAGUUAGUGCAAGCAUACUUAGCAAUCAUUGCGAGACAAGACUACGCCCAUGCAUAGUGAUAUUAGCAAGGAAUAUGAGAAACAUAGCAAUCACUCCCCUGUAAUAAUGUUGCUCUGCCAGCCCAAUACACGAGAGGGGGACUAUAUAAGAAUCAAUGAAGCUGUCACUAUCACGAACCACCCCACGAUCUGGCAAAUUGGGUACAAUCGCAGAUAAAUACGGUAUAAGCACCACGCCUACACAAUAUCUAUCAUUUACCCAUGGAUCCGAUGGAUAAACGCUAUACGAUCCUAAGCAUGUAUAUAGAUCCAAUCUAACUAAGCCAAGUACAUAACUAUGAUAAACUAAGAACAAUAUAAUCUUGAAUAUAAGCAAGUAGAGCAAAGUCAUAAGCAAUAUAUUGAAGUAGAACAAAGUCAUAUUCAUAAUAUUGAAGAACAAAGAUAAUUAGAAAGCAAUUAGAAGCACAAUUAGAGAAUUACCAAGAAUCCUCCUGACAGAUCUGGAAACCAAUCGAAGAUUGACUCCUUCUAGUUCUAAUGCUAUGUAGCUAUGCUAAUCUAGAUAUCUAAUUGAUGUGGUGGCUCUAAUCUUGAUCAGAGGCUUCUUCUCCCUUGAUGGAACAAUGAAUUAGGGUUGAGAGGCUCUCUCCUCCAGGGGCCAGGGGGUCUGGUUUUAUAGUCCCUUCAAGUGAAUAUGGGCCGUUGGAUCAAACCGACAUAGAUUGUAUGGUUUAGAUUCAUCCUUUAGGUCGGUGGAAAUCUCCCGCAAAGCAGAGUCCUGAUUGGACUCAGGAGGUGGGCGGGCGCCCUGACCAAAUGGGCGGGCGCCCAGGGUUAGGCCCCGUUUCGCCUCCGCUUCGGUCUCGUGGCUUCUGGAGUCUUCUAGAUGUAAGAUAAUUGCGCGGCACGUUAAUAUCUUUACGUAAUCCCGACGUGUGGGCCUUUCUUCCGUAUUUCCUGAUAACUCCCUGCAGAAAUAGACAAACACCAAAACUCGUGGAAUUCUGUCAGAUAAAACCCUAAGUCUAGAUCUUGAUUUCAUUUGGAUCCUUUUCUUUAUUUAUUUGAUAAUUAAAUUUGAUACUUAAGGACCGUCAACAAACUCCCCCAAGCUUACCUCUUGCUCGUCCCUGAGCAAGGAUAGACGCAGCUAUGGAUCAUAAGUUGUUGCAAUAUCUUUAAAAAUUGACGGUACACAUGCUUUUUAAAUAAGAUCUCAUCUCUAAGUUAGAGUAAACUGUCAAGACUUAAAACUUACUUACUUUACCUUCACUACGGGACUUGUAACCGUCACUUCUGUCUUAAGUGGUUAAAAGAUAAAACAGUCUAGUCAAGUGCCAUGUCUCUUAUUCUUGAUCAGCUAUAGCUCUGGGUUUUUUUUUUUGCAGAUUUUCAAAUAAAACUCAGAGAUUCCUUGUAUGAUUCUCUCAGGUCUAUCUUUUGUGGUAUUUCUGGAUCCUUACCAAGCCAGUGAUGGUAUAUGCCUUCUCUCAAGUUAUGUAGUAUUUGUGGUAUAAGGCAUAGUGACAUUGCCUUCUCUCUCACCCUACUCUAAUAAGGCUUUAAUAUCUGGAGCUCAUAGGUGGGAAAUAAAGUAUACAUACUUACAAGACAUGUAUUGCAUAGUCAAACCAUGGAUCCAAAGAAACAAGCCAAUGAGUUUAAUCAAGAUGUGCAUGUGUGGCGAAUGAAUUAUAUAUGGUGAUGAUGGUGAUAACAAUGGUGAAAACAAUGGUGGUGGAAGUCUAAUUCUACUUUGCUCUUUGAGGGGAUACAUACCUUCCUUGCUUUUUAAAACUUUAUGAGGAGAAUGAGAUGCUCUUCUUUUUCUUUUCUCUCAGGUGGGUAUCUUGCACCCCUAAUUCUACCGUCGGACACUUGUCCAUUUUUACCUCUCGUCUCACCCUCUCUUUUCUUUCGAGGUUCCGAGCACUUGCUCCUUUUUAUUUCCUCGUGUUUCUCUUCUUCUUUUUUCAGAACAUUCAUCUCUUGAGAUAAUAUAGCAAGUGAUAGUAACAAGAUAACUUGAGCAUUUAUUUCACAAGGGAAAACAAAAAUAUUUUUGGUUAUUCUCUCCUGGAUUAGGAGUAGAAUAUUUUUAGGUGGUUCUGGAGAUGGAAAUGGAUGGAUAUAUGUGGAUGGUACUUCCGGAGUAGCAUAUAUGAGUGAACGUGCAAGUGAAAUCUUGAUUUAACCACAUGACAAGUUCCUAAGGGUCUACACAGCUUGACCACACUCAAUGCUCAUAAGCAGUAAAUAGUAAAUGUGUGGCUCAAAGUCUAGCAAGCAUGUAUAUAUGGCUGUGGUAGGAAUUUAAACUCUCAUCAUACAGGAACUCAUCAUGCAACAUUUUAAAAGAUUUUCAAAGAUAAAAUUCUCCAGAAUUCUAUCAUCUCUAUGAACAGAUAAGCAGCAGCUCAACCUUCCCAUAUCGUAUCCGUUAACUACUUAGACUUCAGAUCAAAUUUUCAUCCCAUAAGUUUAGGUCUAGAGCAAGCUUUAAAUUAUAACAGUUAUAUCUAAUCUUGAGAGAGAACUUAAAAUGUGCAAAUUAGGCAGAGCAACUAUUCAUCAUAUCCAUGCUUAAGUUUUAUUUAGAUACAGAUUAGCAUAGCCACUUUAUUUAUUUAUUAAACACACUAAGCAAAAGGCAAAUAUAUAAGCACAAAAUCUUUAUUUGGUUUUUCAUAGUUAUGUAUAUUUAAUAUUCUAAAAUAAUAUAAGUAUAAAGAUAGAUAGAUAGAAAUACUUAUCGAGAUAAAUGGGGGUGCUCUCCCCAAAGCUGAAUUUUGACGUAAUUUCUCUUGAUGUAGCUAGCAGGUGGCAGAGGUGUAUUUGAAAGUCAGCAGCAUUCUGACAGCGAUUAGAAUGUCCUCCGUCUACUAGUCUUCUUGACUCUUAAAUUAUGUGGAGCUCAAAUAGACAACAAAGCUUGUGGAACUGAUUAAGUGUUAGCAUAAAUAUCUAGCCUUUAUCAUGUUGAGACUCCUUAAUAAUUAUUACUCCCUGUUUUUAUAUUUUCAUUUUAUAAAGCAGAAAUGAAAUAUUUAUUUUAUUUUUAUGCCACCACAGUGAAUAUAGUUAUGGGUUUUAUGCCACUCGUAUACUCACAUGGGGCUUACUGUUUUUUUAUAUUUUAUUUUCUUUUUAAGAUAGUACGAACAUGAUUAACUAAGUAAACUAUUUUAAAUAAUUGAAAUAAUUGAAAGGGAAAGGAUAACUACCAAGUUUACCUCUUGGCAAGGCGUUCGGUGUUUUUAAGUCCUCCGAACGGGACUCUCCAUUUUCUUAAUCAUCCUGAGGUUCGUUGGGUGGCGUAGUCGGUACUUCCGGCAGCGCCUCCUCUUCUUGUAUAGUUAUCUUCAUUUUCCAUACCUGACUCGGUGCUUCAAUCUCCUCUGGAUAAUUCUGUUUAAACUCAACAUCUUCUGACUUUACAACUUCUCCUUCAUAGUCUGCCCACCCGUCCUUGAUGAUCUGCCUCCUCUGGUUGCGGUUGCGUCUCUUUCUGACCUACUUAGAUUCCUCAACGAUAUAGUCAGGGCCAGUAAAAUAACAGUGUACCUUCUCUGAGGGGAAGUGCAUAUGGACUUCUCCGGUUCCAAUGUAGAUAAUUGCUUUAACGGUGCUGAGGAACGGUCUUCCAAGAAUGAUGGGUGGAUCGUACUCAUCUUCUCCCAUGUCAAUAACCUGAAAGUCUGUGUAGACAAAGUGAUCGUCUAUUUUGACUGGGACAUCAGUUACUAUUCCUUUAACUUCUCGAAAUGUCUGAUCUGCCAUCUGGAGCUGAAUGUAUGUUGGUCUUAGUGGCAUGGUCCCGAACAAGAGCCGAUAGGUGACUGCGGCUAUUAUGUUGACGCCCGAUCCGGUGUCACAAAAUGCCUUGUAGAAGUUGUAUCCAUUUAUGGAGCAGUAAAUGUUUGGCAUUCCUGGGUUGUCCUUCUUGGUCAAAAGCGGUGACUUAAGUUGGUGAUCUUGGCCUCCAUGAACUACAGUGACCAUCUUAGCUGACUCGGUCUACACUUGCUUGUUCCUGUUCCUCCUGUUGGUCCUCUUCCUUGAUUCACGUCUAGAUUGAUCUGGAAUUUGUGUAGUCUUGUUCUUGAAGAAAAAUGUCUCCUUCGUCCCUUUGACGUAGAAACUGAUCUUGGCAGCACUGGCGUAGAUGAUAGCUCCCGUGGUGUUCAAGAAUGGCCUCCCUAAGAUGAUGGGUGCUCUCUCAUCAUUUCCGGUCUCUACCACUACGAAGUCUACUGGGGCAUAUAAGGUACCAACUAGGACACAAAGGUUCUUCACUAUUCCUUUUGGAAAAGUUAUCGUCUGAUCUGCAAACUGCAAACACAUGGUUGUUUCUAAUAAAGGAUAUGUAAAGAUUUUUUCAUAGAGUACCCUGGGUAUAAUGUUGACACUGGAGCCAAAGUCGCAGAGUGCUUCUGGAACGUCCACCAUGCCGAUAGAGAUCGGGAUGACGGGGCGUCCUGGAUCGCCUCUCUUGACCGGCAGAAGGUCAGUAGAGAAUUCAUUGACGGGGUUACUCCAAUUACCUGCAUCAAACGUGUCUACAAGAUUUGCAGAUUCUAAUCCUUCCGGUUCUGAUGGUAUUCCGGGGUUAGUAGUAGGAACAGCAGCAGCUAUUUGAUUUAACUGAGAUUCAAUCAUUUUAUUAAAGCUAAUUUGAUUCUUGAUGGCAGUAGAUAAAUUAUCCAUUCUAUUAUUUAUAUUUUCUAGCAUUUUAUCAUUAGAUGCCAAUUUCUUAGAUAGGUUAUCCAUUAGCUUUCCUUGAUUAGACACUAACUCUCUCAAAGGUGGAAAAUUAUUAGCAUUAUUGUUGUAAGAAUUGUUACCUUGAUAAUUACCUGAGUAGUUAGGCCUCUGUUGAUUCCAACCUUGAUUUUGUUGAGGACGGUUGUAGUAGUUGUUGUUGUUGUUGCUGAUGUAGUUCACAUCCUCAAGUAUCUCAGGGCAGUGGUUGCCUGAGUGUCCAGUGUCUCCACACUCCUCACAAGUCAUGUGAGAGUCGUAGAUGUGCAUAACUUCUUUCUUGUCUCCAGCUCUAUCGUCGAGCUUCUUCAUGAGCAGGUCUAGCUUUGCAGACAGCAUGUCUACCUCUUUCAGCUGAUGCAUACCUCCACCUCUCUUGCGUGUCUGGGUCCACUCUUCAUUCCAGCUUUGAUUGCACGCCAUCUUCUCCACAAGAGCUGUGGCUUGUGGUAUAGUAAGUGAUAAGAAUGCUCCUCCAGCUGCAGCAUCCAUGGUCUCUCGGGCACUGUUGCCGAGCCCAUGAUAAAACGUCUGCAUCAAUAGCCAACUCUCCAUUCCAUGAUGGGAACAUUCUAGGAUGUAGUCUUGAAAGCGCUCCCAUGCUUCUGGAAUAGAUUCAUCAUUUUGUUGCUGAAAACUUGUAAUCUUCCCACGGAGAGCAUUGGUCUUGCCUAUGGGAAAGAACUUAGCCAGGAAGUUUGUUGAGCAGAGUGCCCACGUAGUAUUGUUCUCCUUUGUAGCGUAGAACCACUGCUUCGCUCUUCCUAACAAUGAGAAUGGGAAGAGGCAAAGUAGUAUAGCAUCUUUGGAAACUCCUGAUAUGGUGAAUGUGUUGCAAAUCUCCAGGAAGUGUUGUAAAUGAGCACUAGCAUCUUCGUGUGCCUUCCCACAGAACUGGUUGGAUUGCACCAUGUUGAUAAGUCCAGGCUUGAGCUCAAAGUUGCCAUCGAUCUCUGCAGCAGGUCCAGUGCGGAUGUUGUCCGUAGUGGGAGCUGAGAACUCGCGGAUUGAUUUGUUUGCCAUGGCUUCGAACUCUGAAGACAAGUUCCGAUGAUCUUCUUGAUUGGAUGAAGCUUCUUGCUGAAGUGUUGAUGAUUUCUUUAGCUUGGCUCUCGUCUUCUUGAAUAAUGCUUCGGGAUUGUCAACAAAAUUUCCUGGAAGAUGUCUUCUAUUCAUACAUUCCCCUGCAUAAGAUGAAAUAGGAAAAUAUCGGGGUAAAACUGUAUGAGAGAAUAGAUAAGCUCAAUCAUAUUAGUGAUGCGAAUGAUAACUCAAAAUCUUUUAUUCCAUUCCUGAUUAGUAAUCAACCUUCCCCGGCAACGGCGCCAAAAAUGCUUGUUGGGUAUUCUUAACAUCAUUACCAAAAGUAGACUAAGUUCUCUAAAUCUAGUAACGGUGCAAAAAAUGCCAAACCUAUCCCUCACACCACUUAAGCCAAGUUGUCAUCCCCAGCAUGAUAUAAGAGACGCGGUAUUGAAAUAUGCAAUUGCUCUUCUAAAUAAAUAAUGAAUGGGAUCUGCAAGCGCACAGAUUAAUACCGAUGCAGCAUUUUAACCGGGAAGUAUUCCAGGUAUCGUUAUUUAUAUUUUUACCACUGGGAAGGGAUUAACAAUCAUCAAUAGUGAUUACAGAAUAGAAUAUGAGAUUGAGCAUCUAUCAUUGCAUGUAUAAUUGAGAACAUUAUAUCUAACUUUUCAUACAGGGAUAAGUGUCACAUAAAGGAUAUAUGAAAUAAUAAUAGUGACAAGGAUAACUAAUAUGAUCUAGCCACAUAAUAAAUAUGAUAAGCACCUCAAUUAGAUACUCUAGAAAGUCAUUAGCAUGGUAUUAGAACGAACUACAAGAAUAUUCCCUAAGUUAUUCUCAACUAUAUAGUCUAGCAUAUCAUAGUUAGUGCAAGCAUACUGUUGACGGUCCUUAAGUAUCAAAUUUAACUAUCAAAUAAACAAAGAAAAGGAUCCAAAUGAAAUCAACAUCGAGACUUAGGGUUUUAUCUAACAGAAUUCCACGAGUUUUGGUGUUUGUCUAUUUCUGCAGGGGGUUAUCAGGAAAUAAGGAAGAAAGGCCCACACGUCGGGAUUACAUAGAGAUAUCAACGUGCCGCACAAUUAUCUUACAUCUAGAAGACUCCAGAAGCCACGGGAAGGAAGCGGAGACCGAACGGAGUCAGGGACAGGGCGCCCGCCCAAGUCCUUAGGGCGCCCACCCACCUUUUUCGGCCAAUCACGCUCAAUCUCGUGGAUUAUGCUCCACCGACCUAAAGGAUCAAGAAUAACCGUUCAAUCAAUGUCGGUUUGAUCCGACGGCCCAGGUUCACUUGAGGAGACUAUAAAACCAGACCCCCUGGCCCCUGGAGGAGGCACCCCUUGAUCAUUAUUCAUUAUUCAUAGACAGAGCAAAAGCUAGGGUUUAGAGAUGAGAGCUCUCCUCUCUUCUCUAAACUAGAGUAGAUCUAGAUAGUAGCGAGAUGGAGAGCGAAGGAGGAUUAGAGGAGAGGCCGGCCUGUCGGUUCUUCCUCCGGUUGUACUUCGCCAUGAUCAAGCUCUAAUCAAGCUUGCUCAUGGGAUGACUCUGGUAAUCUACUUCUAAUUCAUUAUGCAAUUACUAAUCAUGUAUGUUCUGGUUCACAACUCUUUUGAGUACUUCUAAUCUAUAGGACCCUAUAGGUUAGAGUUGUAGUAUAGGUGUAAGCGUGGUGCUUAGACCUAGAUUACUUGUGGAUAUCCCCUGACUAGCUGGAUCGUGUGGUAGGCCGCGUAGGUGACAGUUACGUUGGUCCCCUGUAGUCCACCUCUCGUUAGCAGGACGGGUAGGGUUUAUCGGCCUAUGGAUAAGCAUCCUUUGUGGUGUACUCUUAUCACGUGGUUCGUCCCAGACAUAGACAUACCCCUUUGAAGUAGAGAAACCAUAGUAAUCCUGUCUAUUCUGCUACCAUCGCCCAUAUACUAGAAUUGCUCUACUCUCUAUUCCCAUAUUAUCACUCACUUUUAUCUUACCUUUAAUAUUGUUCUUAUUCGAUUCUACCAUCUUUCCUAUUCACACCUAUUUAAUUAUCUUGGUUAAGUUAGAGCGUAGAUCAGUUCUCCCGUUUCCCUGUGGAUACGAUAAAACCUUUAACUGGGUAAAAGCUUCUACGGUAUCCGUGCGCUUGCGGAUUAUCUGUGUGCGUAUAAAUACCAUAGUACACUCUAGUGCCACGCUGGGGAUGACAACCUAGUAUUCAAGUGGUGUUAGCAAGUGUCAACAAGCAUUUUUGGCGCCGUUGCCGGGGAAACGGUUGCUGAGUUGACUACGAACUAGUUUAAUCAUUUUAUAAAAAAUAAAUAAAUAAAAAAAUAUUUUCCUUUUAUCCUUUGCGUCAUCUCUGCUAUUCUUUCUUCUUAUCUAAUCCUUGAUCUCUGGUCUAUUAUGAAUUCAAACAUGUCUAUCUAUGAAUUUCAUAGACCUAUGGGCACACAUCUCGAACCACCAAAAUCUUCAAAGCCUAUCAUAGCAUCCAGUUUUGAGAUAGACCCCGAAUACAUAGAAUUUAUUCAAAAACAACCUUUCUCGGGAAAAGGUGAGGAAAACCCAUACACACACCUAAGAGAGUUUUAUCGAGUCUGUGACCUCCUUCGCAUAGAAGGCAUGUCCGAUGAGACCCUUAAAUGGAAGCUCUUUCCGUUCUCUUUAACGGGAAAAGCUAGACAUUGGUAUAAACUCAAAGUAGGGAGUGUUCAUGGAGAUUGGAAGGAGUUAUAUAGUAGUUUUCUUUCUAAAUAUUUUCCAAUCUCCAAAGUGGUGGAACUUCGGCGUGAGAUUCUUUCUUUUAGACAACUGGAAGAAGAAUCUCUUAGCAAAUCAUGGGACCGCUUUAUUAACCUUACUCUCACUGGCCCAAAACUUUCUAUUCCAGAAGAAGUUCUUCUAAUUCACUUUUUUGAGGGCCUUAGUAGGAAAAAUAAGCAAACCCUUCAUGCGGCCUCUGGAGGAUCUUUCCACCACCUAUCCGCUAGUGAAGCUUGGAAUUUGAUUGAUUUAAUGAGCGGAAAGUCUCCUAGCUUUUAUAUCCCUAAGAAAGAGAAAGAACCAGUUCCUAGAGAAGAAGAAGAAGUUUCGAUAGCCAGAUCACAACCACUUCAAUCUCAAACUUUAGCUAUCGAUCCUAAACCAUCAAUACCUCAAAAUUCUCCAAGGGAGGAAGGAAUUCCGACCUUAAAUCUUUUAGAUGCUGAUGGUUUAGACUUCUGGUUCUAUAAGAGACCUUCAAGCAGGGAUAAUUCAAAUCAUUGCAAUAAUGUUUCUCUUAGAGAAUGUCCUGGUUCCUAUCAUGAAGAAGUCGAGGAUGACACAUCAAGUGAAGGAGAGCUAAGCCAUAUAGACAAUUCUAUCUACUCCCCUUCCAUGUUCACAAGUUCUAAAUCCAUCCUUGACCUUAGAGAUCCCUCUUAUCCCUCUUCUUUUCAGUCUCAUGAUGAUCCUAGCAAUUCACCAAGACGACCAAACUAUAGGAGUCAUGAAGACCAUAAGGAUGGCAUGUCAAGUAAUGCCAUAGAAGGAGAGCUAAGCCAUAUAGAAAAUUCUAACACCUCCCCUAUUUUGAUCACAAGUUCUAAAUGGCUAGAAUGUGUAGAAUGGAUGGAUAAGGAAGAAUCCUUAAUAGGUUCUGACUUUGGCUCAAUUUCAAAUGGUGAGUUCUUGACUCCCUUUGAAGAUGAGAUUCAUCCAACUAUAGAAGAGGACAUAGGUGAGACCAAUCCAGGAGAAACUCCGAACAUUCAGAUUAGAGACGAAAAUAACAUUAAUGAGCAUGGAAUUUAUUUCAUAGCCACUUUGUUUACUCCAUGCUCAUAUGCAACAUCUUCCCAAUCUAUUGGUCUCUCCGACAUCACCACACUUGAGAUCUCCAACCCCCUCUUCCUUUCUAUUUAUAAAAACUUUAAAAGGGCGGUUGUCGAUGCAUAUGUCUAUAAUCAAUAUUGCAGAUCUCGUUGAGUUGAUCUAGAUAUAGGUUGGCGUCGGAGGGGAAACCACUUCGCCAACAUAAACUGAUAGUUUCCCAAGGACAAGCUUAGUGUCUUAAAAUAAGCAUUGAUCAGAUCGUAACAUGAGCCUUUAAUUAUUUGCAACAUUACCUUGUGUAUUGAGCAUAUAAGGAUAAUUGUAAAAAAAAAAUACCCUUCGGGUAUUCUUGUCACUAACCUUUCUAAGAUUGGAGCAAGAAGAUCGGAUGAAUGACAAGCACAAGGUAUGUCCAACCAAUCAUAAUACAACAUUGAAUUAAAUUCAUCCAAACUUGAAUUUUGCAAAAUUCAAGCUUGGGGGAGUACUUUACAUAAAAACAUCCUUUGCCAUGUUGCUAUGCUGGUUGUCCCUACCUUUGAGACAUGCUCAAUUUGUUAAAUACUAAUCACACUACUUCAUCUCCACUUGAGUAGAUCUCUAUAAACGCUGUCAUGCUACCUUUGUCUAUUUACUAGCAAGUGUUGGUUUGGAAGUACUCACCAUACUUCCAUUGGCAUUUAAAUUAAGCAUGGUGCUUAGGUUAAAUAGCCUUCCUUAAUCUGAUUAGACAUGGAGUCUAGUUUGGUUAUUGAACUAAAAAAACUGCUUGAGUAGAUAUUGGUAUAUUUUGUCGGACUAACCCCUGCAGAAAAACUUUCAAUAUCAAUUUGGGAAGUCCUGAGAUAAACUCACAUCAGAGACGAAGAGAGUGACACAUGAAGUUUAACAAUUUGCACAAGAAGGACAUAGCUCAUUCAUCAUAGAGAGAUGAUCCAUGGAGGGUGCCACAAACACGACGCACAACCGCUAAGAAAGGAAAGCUUCCACAAGAUGAUACUGUACCAUCACUCUUCGAGCAAGGUAACAUCUUAAGGUACUUGACUAUCUCUUUUAUAAGCUUCUCCUUGGUUCUGGCGUUCAUAUAAAUAAAAGAGACAAACGUGUAUGAUUUACAACUCUAGAUUAACCAACCCAACUGAUUCAACAUGUUUAGUCCUUUAAUCCUUGUUCUUAGUACUACCUCCAUGAUCCCACACUCCUAAUCAUAUGAGCUAAAAUGUUACACAUUCAAUCAUUGAGAGAUAUAAAGAAAAAGACAUAUACAUAGAUAGAUUAUCUUUCCAUAAGGUUGAGCGAUCUGAUCUGACAAAUGUUAUAAGUGCUACACUCAUGAACUUAUCAUCCAUCAACUUGUCUUGCUCACUAUGCUUAAGGUUAGAGAAGAACAAAUACACUUUUGGUUCUGUUGGUGUUUUCCACCAACAGGGCCCAUGCACUUGAUCUCUGUCUUGUCUCUAUGAGCAGGUACACUACGAGCACAAACACACUGAGCAAGAUACUGCUAACACCGCACUUCGAACUGCUGGGCAAACGAAAAACAUGGGUGACACCGUAUUAAAAGGUGCAGACGUCAAGGUCCGCACCUGAAUCAAAUGAUGCACCUGAAGAAUGAACACGGUGAGAAGUCUUGUCAAGAAGACUUAAAACAUUGAACCCUCGCCGAAAGGUAAGAUUGGUAGUUAUCCAUAUUUAUCCUUUCUGCAUUCCCUUUUCCAUUUAAUUAUUUACUUUCCUUAAAUAGAUUAUCUUGAAAAGAAAAUAAAAAUGUUAAAAAAUACUAAGCCCCAUGUGAGUAUACGAGUGGCAUAAAACCCAUAAGUACCUUCACUGUGGUGGCAUAAAAAUAAAAUAAAUAUUUCUUUUCUACUUUAUAAAAUAAAAAUAUAAAAACAGGGAGUAAUAUUUAUUGAGGAAGCUCAACGUGAUGAAGGCUAGAUAUUUAUGCUAACACUUAAUUAGUUCCACAAGCUUUGUUGUCUAUUUAAGCUCCACAGAAUUUAAGAAUCAAGAAGACUAGCAGACGGAGGACAUUCUAAUCGCUGUCAGAAUGCUGCUGACUUUCAAAUACACCUCUGCCACCUGCUAGCUACAUCAAGAGAAAUUACGUCAAAAUUCAGCUUGGGGGAGAGCACCCCCAUUUAUCUCGCUAAGUAUUUCUACCUAUCUUUAUACUUAUAUUAUAUUAGAAAAUUAAAAUACAUAAACUAUGAAAAACUAUAUAAAGAUUUUGUGCUUAUAUAUAUAUCUUUUGCUUAGUGUGUUUAAUAAAUAAAUAAAGUGGCUAUGCUAAUCUGAAUCUUAAUAAUAAAACUCUAGCAUGGAUAUGAUGAAUAGUUGCUCUGCCUAAUUUGCAAAUUUGAAGUUCUCUCUCAAGUUUAGACAUAACUGUUAUAAUUUAAAGCUUGCUCUAGAUCUAAACUUGUGGGAUGAAAACUUGAUCUGAAAUCUAAGUUGUUAACGGAUAUGAUAUGAGAAGGUUGAGCUGCUGUUUAUCUAUUCCUAGAGACGCUAGAAUUCUGGAGAAUUUUAUCUUUGAAAAAUCUUUAAAAUGUUGCAUGAUGAGUUCUUGUAUGAUGAAAGUUUAAAUUCCUACCACAGCCAUAUAUACAUGCUUGCUAGAUUUUGAGUCACACAUUUAUUAUUUACUGCUUAUGAGCAUUGAGUGUGGUCAAGCUGUGUAGAACCUUAGGAGCUUGUCAUGUGGUUAAAUCAAGAUUCACUUGCACGUUCACUCAUAUAUAUGCUACUUCUACUCCGGAAGUACCAUCCACAUAUAUCCAUCCAUUUCCAUCUCCAGAAUCACCUAAAAAUAUUCUACUCCUAAUUCGGGAGAGAAUAGCCAAAAACAUCUGUGUUUUUCCCUUGUGAAAUAAAUGCUCAAGUUAUCUUGCUACUACCACUUGCUAUAUUAUCUUAAGAGAUGAGUGCUCUGAAAAAAAAGAAGAAAAAAAAAGAGAGAAAAGAAAAAAAAAUAUAAACGAGGAAAUAAAAAGGGGCAAGUGCCCGGAACCUCGAAAGAAAAGAAAAAGAGUGAGAUGAGAGGUAAAAAUGGACAAGUGUCCGACAGUAGAAUUAGGGGUACAGGAUACCCAUCUGAGAGAAAAGAAAAAGAAGAGCAUCUCAUUCUCCUCAUAAAGUUUCAAAAAGCAAGGAAGGUAUGUAUCCCCUCAAAAGAGCAAAAGUAGAAUUAGACUUUCACCAUUGUUAUCACCAUCAUCACCAUACACUAUUCAUUCGCCACACAUGCACAUCUUGAUUUGGCUUAUUGAUUUGUUUCUUUGGAUCCAUGGUUUGACUAUACAAUAAAUGUCUUGUAAGUAUGUAUAUUUUAUCUCCCACCUAUGAGCUCCAGAUAUUAAAGCCUUAUUAGAGUAGGGUGAGAGAGAAGACAAUGUCAAUAUCCCUUAUACCACAAAUACCACAUAUUUUGAGAGAAGGCAUAUACCAUCACUGCCUUGGUAAGGAUCCAGAAAUACCACAAAAGAGAGAUAUGAGAGAGUCAUACAAAGGAAUCUCUGAGUUUUAUUUGGAAAUCUGCAAAAACUCCAGAGCUAUAGCUGAUCAAGAAUAAGCGACAUGGCACUUGACUGGAUUGUUCUAUCUUUUAACCACUCAAGACAGAAGUGACGGUUACAAGUCCCAUGGUGAAAGGUAAAGUAAGUAAGUUUUAAGUCUUGACAGUUUACUCUAACCCAGAGAUGAGACCUCAUUUAAAAGCAUGUGUACCGUCAAUUUUUAAAGAUAUUGCAACAACUUAUGAUCCAUAGCUGAGUCUAUCCUUGCUCAGGGACGAGCAAGAGGUAAGCUUGGGGGAGUUUGUUGACGGUCCUUAAGUAUCAAAUUUAACUAUCAAAUAAACAAAGAAAAGGAUCCAAAUGAAAUCAACAUCGAGACUUAGGGUUUUAUCUGACAGAAUUCCAUGAGUUUUGGUGUUUGUCUAUUUCUGCAGGGGGUUAUCAGGAAAUAAGGAAGAAAGGCUCACACGUCGGGAUUACAUAGAGAUAUCAACGUGCCGCGCAAUUAUCUUACAUCUAGAAGACUCCAGAAGCCACGGGAACGAAGCGGAGACCGAACGGAGUCAGGGACAGGGCGCCCGCCCACCUUUUUUGGCCAAUCACGCUCAAUCUCGCGGAUUAUGCUCCACCGACCUAAAGGAUCAAGAAUAACCGUUCAAUCAAUGUCGGUUUGAUCCGACGACCUAGGUUCACUUGAGGGGACUAUAAAACCAGACCCCCUGGCCCCUAGAGGAGGCACUCCUUGAUCAUUAUUCAUUAUUCAUAGACAGAGCAAAAGCUAGGGUUUAGAGAUGAGAGCUCUCCUCUCUUCUCGAAACUAGAGUAGAUCUAGAUAGUAGCGAGAUGGAGAGCGAAGGAGGAUUAGAGGAGAGGCCGGCCUGUCGGUUCUUCCUCCGGUUGUACUUCGCCAUGAUCAAGCUCUAAUCAAGCUUGCUCAUGGGAUGACUCUGGUAAUCUACUUCUAAUUCAUUAUGCAAUUACUAAUCAUGUAUGUUCUAGUUCACAACUCUUUUGAGUACUUCUAAUCUAUAGGACCCUAUAGGUUAGAGUUGUAGUAUAGGUGUAAGCGUGGUGCUUAGACCUAGAUUACUUGUGGAUAUCCCCUGACUAGCUGGAUCGUGUGGUAGGCCACGUAGGUGACAGUUACGUUGGUCCCCUGUAGUCCACCUCUCGUUAGCAGGACGGAUAGGGUUUAUCGGCAUAUGGAUAAGCAUCCUUUGUGGUGUACUCUUAUCACGUGGUUCGUCCCAGACAUAGACAUACCCCUUUGAAGUAGAGAAACCAUAGUUAUCCUCUCUAUUCUGCUACCAUCGCCCAUAUACUAGAAUUGCUCUACUCUCUAUUCCCAUAUUAUCACUCACUGUUAUCUUACCUUUAAUAUUGUUCUUAUUCGAUUCUACCAUCUUUCCUAUUCACACCUAUUUACUUAUCUUGGUUAAGUUAGAGCGUAGAUCAGUUCUCCCGUUUCCCUGUGGAUACGAUAAAACCUUUAACCGGGUAAAAGCUUCAACGGUAUCCGUGUGCUUGCGGAUUAUCUAUGUGCGUAUAAAUACCAUAGUACACUCUAGUGCCAGGCUGGGGAUGACAACCUAGUAUUCAAGUGGUGUUAGCAAGUGUCAACACAUACUUAGCAAUCAUUGCGAGACAAGACUACGCCCAUGCAUAGUGAUAUUAGCAAGGAAUAUGAGAAACAUAGCAAUCACUCCCCUGUAAUAAUGUUGCUCUGCCAGCCCAAUACAUGAGAGGGGGACUAUAUAAGAAUCAAUGAAGCUGUCACUAUCACGAACCACCCCACGAUCUGGCAAAUUGGGUACAAUCGCAGAUAAAUACGGUAUAAGCACCACGCCUACACAAUAUCUAUCAUUUACCCAUGGAUCCGAUGGAUAAAUGCUAUACGAUCCUAAGCAUGUAUAUAGAUCCAAUCUAACUAAGCCAAGUACAUAACUAUGAUAAACUAAGAACAAUACAAUCUUGAAUAUAAGCAAGUAGAGCAAAGUCAUAAGCAAUAUAUUGAAGUAGAACAAAGUCAUAUUCAUAAUAUUGAAGAACAAAGAUAAUUAGAAAGUAAUUAGAAGCACAAUUAGAGAAUUACCAAGAAUCCUCCUGACAGAUCUGGAAACCAAUCGAAGAUUGACUCCUUCUAGUUCUAAUCCUAUGUUGCUAUGCUAAUCUAGAUAUCCAAUUGAUGUGGUGGCUCUAAUCUUGAUCAGAGGCUUCUUCUCCCUUGAUGGAACAAUGCAUUAGGGUUGAGAGGCUCUCUCCUCCAGGGGCCAGAGGGUCUGGUUUUAUAGUCCCUUCAAGUGAAUAUGGGCCGUUGGAUCAAACCGACAUAGAUUGUAUGGUUUAGAUUCAUCCUUUAGGUCGGUGGAAAUCUCCCGCAAAGCAGAGUCCUGAUUGGACUCAGGAGGUGGGCGGGCGCCCUGACCAACUGGGCGGGCGCCCAGGGUCAGGCCCCGUUUCGCCUCCGCUUCGGUCUCGUGGCUUCUGGAGUCUUCUAGAUGUAAGAUAAUUGCGCGGCACGUUAAUAUCUUUACAUAAUCCUGACGUGUGGGCCUUUCUUCCGUAUUUCCUGAUAACUCCCUGCAGAAAUAGACAAACAUCAAAACUCGUGGAAUUCUGUCAGAUAAAACCCUAAGUCUAGAUCUUGAUUUCAUUUGGAUCUUUUUCUUUAUUUAUUUGAUAAUUAAAUUUGAUACUUAAGGACCGUCAACAAUAACGGCACCAAAAAUACCAAACCUAUCUCUCAUACCACUUAAGCCAAGUUGUCAUCCCCACCAUGACAUAAGAGACGCGGUAUUGAAAUAUGCAAUUGCUCAUCUAAAUAAAUAACAAAUGGGAUCUGCAAGCACAUAGAUUAAUACCGAUGUAGCAUUUUAACCGGGAAGUAUUCCAGGUAUCGUUAUUUAUAUUUUUACCACUGGGAAGGGAUUAGCAAUCAUCAAUGUUGAUUAUAGAAUGGAAUAUAAGAUUGAGUAUCUAUCAUUGCAUGUAUAAUUGAGAACAUUUAUCUAACUCUUUCAUAUUGGGAUAAGUGUCACAUAAAGGAUAUAAAGUAAUGAAUAGUGACAAAGAUAAUUAAUCUGAUCAGCAUAACUUAGCCACAUAUAAAUAUGAUAAGCACCUCAAUUAGAUAUUCUAGCAAGUCAUUAGCAUGGAAUUAGGAUGAACUACAAGAAUAUUUCCUAAGUUAUUCUUAACUAUACAGUCUAGCAUAUCAUAGUUAGUGCAAUUAUACUUAGCAAUCAUUGUGAGACAGGACUACGCCCAUGCAUAGUGAUAUUAGCAAGGAAUUUGAGAAAUAUCGCAAUCACUCCCCUGUAAUAAUGUUGCUCUGCCAGCCCAAUACACGAGAGGGGGACUAUAUAAGAAUCAAUGGAGCUGUCACUACCACGAACUACCCCGCGAUCUGGCAUAUAGGGUACAAUCGCAGAUAAAUACGGUAUAAGCACCAUGCCUACACAAUAUCUAUCAUUUACCCAUGGAUCGGAUGGCUAAACGCUAUAUGAUCCUAAGCCUGUAUAUAGAUCCAAUCUAACUAAGCCAAGUAUAUAACUAUGAUAAACUAAGAACAAUAGGGUUGAGAGUCCUUUCAAGUUAUAUAGUCCUUUCAAGUGAAUAUGAGCCGUUGGAUCAAACCGACAUUGAUUGAACAGUUAUCCUUGAUCCUUUAGGUCGGUGGAGUGUAAUCCCCGAAGAGAUUCCUGAUUGGACUCCAGGUCAGGGCGGGCACCCUAGGGGGGAGGGCAGGCGCCCUACCCUCGGCCCCGUUCGACCUCCAGUUCGUUCCCGUGGCUUCUGGAGUCUUCUAGAUUAUAAAAAAUUGCGCGGCACGUUAAUAUCUCUAUGUAAUCCCGAUGUGUGGACCUUUCUUCCUUAUUUCCUGAUAACCCCCUGCAAAAAUAGACAAAAACCAAAACUCGUGGAAUUCUGUCAGAUAAAACCCUAAGUCUUGGUGUUGAUUGCAUUUAGAUCCUUUUCUUUAUUUAUUUGAUGAUUAUAUUUGGUACUUAAGGACCGUCAACAACUCCCCCAAGCUUAACUCUUGCUCGUCCCUGAGCAAGGAUGAACUCAAGAGUUUCUGCAGUGGUUUCAUGCGUUAAAAGUACACAUGCAUUCAAGCAAGAUCUCAUCUCUAGGUUAGAAUAAACUGUUAAGACUUAAAACUCACUCAUUUUACCUUUCACCAUGGGGCUUGCAACCGUCACUUGUGUCUUGAGUAGUUAAAAGAUAGAACAGUCUAGUCAAGCGCCAUGUCUCUUCUUCUUUGAUUAACUAUAGCUCUGGAGUUUUUGCAGAUUUUCAAAUAAAACUCAGAGAUUCCUUGUAUGACUCUCUCAAAUCUCUCUUUUGUGGUAUUUCUGGAUCCUUACCAAGGCAGUAAUGGUAUAUGCCUUCUCUCGAAGUAUGUGGUAUUUUUGGUAUGAGGCAUAGUGAUAUUGCCUUCCCUCUCACCCUACUCUCAUAAGGUUUUGAUAUCUGGAGCUCAUAGGUGGUAGACAGAUAAUACAUACUUACAAGACAUUUAUUGCAUAGUCAAACCAUGGAUCCAGAAGAACAAGUCAUUAAGUCAAAUCAAGAUGUGCAUGUGUGGCGAGUGAAUGGUGUAUGGUGACGAUGGUGAUAACAAUGGUGAAAAUCUAAUUCUACUUUUGCUCUUUUAAGGGGAUACAUACCUUUCUUGCUCUUUGAAGUUUUUUGAGGAGAAUGAGAUACUCUAUAUUUUCUUUUUCUUUUUCUCUCAGGUGGGUAUCUUUUUACCCCUAAUUCUACUGUCGGACACUUGUCCAUUUUUACCUCUCGUCUCACUCUUUAUUUUCUUCGAGGUUCCAGGCACUUGCCCCUUUUUAUUUCCUCGUAUCCUCUUUUUUUUAGAGCACUCAUCUCCUUAAAUAAUAUAGCAAGUGGUAGUAACCAAGAUAACUUGAGCAUUUAUUUCACAGGGAAAAACAUAAAUGUUUUUGGCUAUUCUCUCCCGGAUUAGGAGUAGAAUACUUUUGGGUGGCUCUGGAGAUGGAAGUGAGUUGAUAUAUGUGGAUGCGUACUUCCGGAGUAGAAGGAGCAUGUGUGAGUGAACGUGCAAGUGAAUCUUGAUUUUAACCACAUGACUAGCUCCUAAGGGUCUACACAGCUUGACCACACUCAAUGCUCAUAAGUAGUAAAAAGUAAAUGUGUGGCUCAAAGUCUAAUAAGCAUGUAUAUAUGGCUGUGGUAGGAAUUUAAACUCUCAUCAUACAGGAACUCAUCAUGUGUUAUUUUAAAAAAUUUUAAAGAUAAGAUUCUCCAGAAUUCUAGCAUCUCUAGGAAUAGAUAAACAGCAUCUCAACCUUCCCAUAUCAUAUCCGCUAACAACUUAGACUUCAAAUCAAGUACUCUUCCCACAAGUUCAGGUUUAGAGCAAAUCUUAAUUCAUAACAGUCAUGCCUAAACUUGAGAGAGGUUUCAAUUUUGAGAACUAGUCAUGGCAGAGCAACUAUUCAUCAUUUCCAUGUGAGAGCUUAUCAUAAGGGUUCAUAGCAAACUUUAUUUAUUUAUUUAUUUAGCAAACUAAGCAAAGAUAUAUAUAAAAUCACAAAAUCUUUAUUUGGAUUUUCAUGAUUAUGCAUCUUUUUAUUAUUUGAGUAAAGUAUAAACGCGAGUAGAAACACUUAGGUGGAUAAAUGGGGGUGCUCUCCCCCAAGCUAGAUUUUGAUGUAAUUUCUUCUGAUGUAGCUAGCAAGUGACGGAGGUGUAUUUGAAUGUUGGCAACACCCUAACAGCGAUUAGGAUGUCCUCUGUCUGCUAGCCUUCUUUGAUCCCUGAAUUCUGUGGAGCUCAAAUAGACAACAAAGCUUUGUGGAACUGGUUAAGUGUUAGCAUAAAAUCUCUUAGGCUUUAUCAUAUUGAGCCUCCUCAAUAAAUGUUACUCUCUUUAGUAGGGUCAUAAAAUUAUUAUUUUUAUUUUUAUAGGAUAGGAAUAUAUUUAUUUUAUUUUUAUGCCACCACAGUGAAUGUACUUAUGGGUUUCAUGCCAUGAGCAUACUCACAUGGGGCUUACUAUUUUUAACAUUUUUCUUUUCUUUUCGAGAUGGCAUGAACCUGAUUAACGAAGCAAACUAUAAUUGAAUAAUUGGAAGGAAAAGGAUAUCUAGCAAGUUUACCUCUUGGCAAGGCGUUCGGUGUUUUUAAGUCCUCCGAACGGGACUCUCCGUUUUCUCAGUCGUCCUGGGAUUCGCUGGAUGGCGUAGUCGGUGGUUCCGGUGGUGCCUCCUCUUCAUGUAUAACUAUCUUCUCUCUGCACACCUGACUCGGUGCUACGGUCUUCUCAGGACAGUUCUGUUCAAGCUGUAUAUCUUUGGACCUUACCACUUCUCCUUGCCCAUCCGUCCUGAUGAUUUGCCUCCUCUGGUUUCGGUUGCGUCGCCUUCUUCAGAGGAAAGUGCAUGUGGACUUCUCCGGUUCCAAUAUAGAUGAUGGCUUUGAUAGUGUUGAGGAACGGUCUUCCAAGGAUGGUGGGUGGAUCGUAGUCGUCUUCUCUCAUGUCAAUAACCUGAAAAUCAUCUCAAGCUGAAUGUAUAUUGCUUGUAGGGGCAUGGUUCCAUGCAGGAGCUGAUAAGUGACUGUGGCCAUUAUGUUGUCGUCAGAUCCGGUGUCGUAGAGUGUCUUCUGGAAAGAGUAUCCAUUGAUUGUGCACGCGAUGCUUGGAACACCAGGGUCGUCCUUCUUGAUCAGGAAAGGCAACUUGAGUCGACGAUCUUGACCUCCUCUGAUAAGGAUCCAGUGUUUUAAGUCUUCUGGACAAGACUUCUCACCGUCUUCAUCCUUUAGGUGCAUCAUUUGAUUAGGUGUGGACCUUGACGUCUGCACCACUUGAUACGGAGUUACCCAUGUUCUUCGUUUGCCCAGCAGUUCGAAGUGCGGUGUUGGCAAUAUCCUGCUCAGUGUGUUUGUGCUCAUAGAUCCAGGUCCUUCACUUGGUGGAGUCUAGGAGUUGUAAAACUCCACCAUGUUUUGCUUGAAGUGUACAUGUUCAUAGAGACAAGGCAG
rnacentral:lncRNA from 1 species